rnacentral:lncRNA from 1 species
AGAUGCAUAUAAGUUUAUAUAUAUGGCAUGAUAAGUGAUGCAUGAUGCAUCUUAUAUAUAACCUUUUGGUUUGUUGGAGUAAACUUGUUGAUGUCUUUUAUGCAGGUUUUUGACUUUUGGCUCCUUUCCCACUCUCCAAUAAUGGAAAAAGCGACGAUAGAAACCUUUGAACCCAUAAAGUUAGAAACCAUUGAACCCAAAUGGAUUGACAAUGAACCAGAAGUUGGACCCUUUUGGAACCAAAGCACAGCAAAUAAACACAGGGAGGUGAAGAAGUCGCAUACAGACCUAAGCAAACCUGUCCAAACCAAAAUCUGGUGGAAUGGAAAAAAAACUCUUUUCUGAAAGGUGAUGAACAAGCCAAGUAAUCAAUUUCUAAGUGUACCUUUGCCUAAAAGUGAUGCAACUUCUACUAGUGUAUGAAACCACAAAUAAGUGAUGAAACUUCAACUAGUGUAUGAAACCACAAAUAAAUAUGUACUGUUUCAGGAAUAAAACUACUUUUUAAUUUUGUUUCAAUUCUCAUGUAAACAUGCACUAGCUAGAAGUUCAACACACUAAUUUUUAAAAUAAAAAUACUUUUGAAUUCCGCUAAAAUUGAUUAAAAUAUCUUAAUGCAACGCCUAACAUAAUCUAAUAUAUUAGUAGAUUAAUAUAAUAAUAUUUCUCAUAUAUACUAUUAAUUUCUAUAUAAGAUACAUUGUACUUGAUAUUCGAACAUAAUUUCUUAAAAAAUAAUAUAUACAUCAAUCCACAAAAAAUAAUAUCCAUUAACUCUGAAUACUUCACGUAAAAUCAAAUUAUACAAACAUAUACAUGAGGUUGAAUUAAUUUAAAAAUACCUAAAGAAUACAUAUGAAAUUAUCCUAAUAAUAUUCAUGCACUAUAAAUUAUAUUUGAUUCACAUAUGAAUUUUUAACCUCUUCUUGUAAAAAGACUUAUAUUAGGUGUAUCUCAUCAGAAUUUCGAAUGUGACUCGUUAAAAAUAUUACUAGUAAAAAUAAAUAUUGAUUUCUUAUUUUAGGCUUUCAUUGUAAAAAGUGGUAUAAUACAAAAAUCUCCUUCAACUUCUCACCAUUUUAGUCUUAUUUAUAUGAUUAGAUCAUUAGUAAAACAUAAGAUAUACUAUUUAAAUAAAUCAACGCGUUACUUUGAGCUUUUUAACAUAUUAUUUACUAAACUUCACAUUUUUAACAAAUUAGAUUGUUUGUUUUUUUUUAUCAACAAGCAGAAAAUGAAUAAAUAUGAACCACUUCAAGAGUGGUCCAAUCCUUAUACAUGAUUGCUAAAAACCAUGAUGUCACGUCUUUCCAAGUUAUCUUUAGUUGCAACUGAAUUUAGUAGCACCCUCCAAGCAAUAAACUGGGUUGAAGGCAAAACAAAAGUCUUCCACAGAGGAACAAACAGACUAUCUCCCUCGAAAGGACCUCUUAAAGUUUCAUAGGCAGACUUUACUGAAAACCCAUUAUCCUUACCAACCUUCCAAACCCAGUUAUCUUCAUAAUUCAAGACAAGGACCUUUCCAUGCAUCUCUUGUAAUAGUUGAAGUUCCUUAUUUUUCUCCCAAUCAAACAGAACUCUUCUCCAGACAAACUUUGAAUCCCAUAUACCAUUAAACCACUCCUCACUAGACUCUAAAUUACCUUAUUUAUUACAACACAAAGAAAACAGUCUUGAAAAUUUACUCUUCAAAUCUUCAUUGUCCACCCACACAUCUUUCCAGAACAAGACUUCCUUCCCGUUUCCCACUCCCCACUCCCCACUCGAAACAGUCCUCAAAGUUCCUACCCCAUUCCUUCAUCCCCCAAACUCCCUUCAAAUCUCUCCACCAGUUGGAAUCCUUAGCAUUGACACUUUGCUCUUGCAAGCUUCUCCAACCUUCAUAUUUAGACUCGAGAAUCUCCUUCCAGAGACCACCCUUAUCAAAACCCAGACAUUAAAUCCAUUUUCUCAUCAAAGUCACAAUGAAAAGCCUUAAUUUCAAAAUACCAAGACCGCCAGCUUCUCGAGGCUCGCAAGCCUUUUUCCAAGAAACCCACACAAUCUUCCUUCCUUCUGAACCCCAACCCCACAAAAACCUUCUUUGAAUUUUCUCAAUCUCCUUCAACACAACAAGAGGCAACUUAUUCAUAGAUAUAUAGAACAACGGGAGAGAAGAAAUAACUGACUUAAUCAGACAAACCCUCUCAACCAAUGAAGAGUUACUUUGACAAAAUCUGUCAUCUCUGUUGUCCCUUUAUAUUUCCUGACUCUUUUCAAAAUGCCCACAACAGUUGAGAAAUUAAUCACAAGAUUACAAAGAGAUUUUUUUAUAGGGAUGGGGUAUCUUUUGCUGGAAGAGUUACUUUGACAAAAUUUGUCGUCUUUGUGGUCCCUUUAUAUUACCUGUCUCUUUUUAAAAUGCCCAUAGCAGUUGGGAAAUUAAUCACGGGACUACAAAGAGAUUUUUUUAUGGGAUAGAGAAGUGAUAGAAGGAAAAUAGCUUGGGCGAAAUGAGAAUUCCUAUGUCAAUUCAAAUCAGAUGGAAGAUUAGGAAUUAAGGAUGUAAACUUUUUUAAUAUGGCUCUUAUUGGGAAAUGAAAAUGGAGACUUGGUUGUGAAAAGUCAAGACUUUGGAAAUAGGUAUUGGAAUCUAAAUAUGGUUCUUGGAGAGGGUUGGAUGUUAGUGUUGUGUCAAAUACUGAAUCUUGGUGGUGGAGAGAUAUCAAGAAGGUGUGUGGAGGAAACUCAAAUUCAUUAUUUGAUAAUUAGAGAAGGUGGAAGGUAGGUGUAGGGAGUACGUAAUAUUCUAUUUUGGACAGAUUGUUGGGCAGGGAACAAUAAUCUUAAAAAUAUAUAUCCUAGAUUUUUUUUUCAAAUUCAGUACUUAAAAAGGGUUUUGUAGAUAAAUAUGGGGUAUGACAUGAGAACUAGUGGGUAUGGCAAAUAGAAUGGAGAAGAGAGUGAUUUUUAUGAGAAAUUGAAAUUAUAAAUGCCUUUAUGGAUGAAUUGAAGGUUGUUAAAAUAGAUGCUUGUUUAAAUGAUGAGUAGAUGUGGCUAGGUGAUAUCUCAAAUUCUUUUGCACCAAAAUAUAUUGCAGCCACAUCUAUUUUCUGCAUUUAACUUUGAUUCUUUCGAGAGUUUAAAAGCUCUUCCAUCAACACAAUAUUUUUUCUGACGUGUUUUAACUGGUAAAAUUGCAACCUAUGAUAAUUUAAUACAUAGAGGAAUUCAGGUUGGAGGGAGAUGUAUGUCAUGUGUGGGUCUGAGCUUGAACAGUAAAUCAUCUUUUCUUCACAUGUAAAGUGACUUCUAAAGUGUUGUAUAUGUAUGAUGUUUGGGCUGGUAGAGUCUUUGUACAUUUUGAACAAAUAGGUUUUACAGAUCUAAACUACUUGGGAAAUUAUGUCUGGAGAUGUAUGUGGAUUGCCAUUAUGUAGGGAAUUUGGAAUCAUAGGAAUAGGAUAAUUUUAAUAAUGCAGUGGUGGAUCCUGUUGAAAUUUUUGCUAAGGCCAAAGUAAAGGCAUGGGCAUGGGUAACCUAUAAAUUCCCAAAGUCAAUUUUUUCUUAUUCUGAUAGGUGUAUUAAUGUAUAUGAAUGUUUAAAAUCACUACAUUGAUCGUUAACGUCUUUUCUAUACUUUUUGGUUGGUUUUUGUUUUGGAUGAGAGCACAUCCCUUUGGGUACAACUAUAGCCACAACUGAUGCGUGGGAAGCUGUAGUAGAUAGCAAGGAAGAAUUUUUUUUCCUUAGAGUUGCCAUGUUUUAUAUCUUGGAAUUGAGCUAAGUUGUUGUGUAUUUUUUAUAGAUGUAGUAUGAUGUAUAUGUGUUGGGUUUUUGUUAGAGGUUUAAGCUUACCAACUUUAUAUGUGCAGAAUAUGGCUAAACUUUGGCCAUUUUACUCUGACAACCUCACUUCUCUAGCUUUGAGGAAUUUUGUACAUGGGGGUUGGAGUACCCCUAGAACUCACAUUUUUUUUUUAUAUAUUUUUACUGCUGAUAAUAAUAUAAAUAAUAAUAAUAAUAAUAGGUUUAAUAAAAAUAAUAUUAAAUAAUCAAUAACAACAUAUAAAGGUGAUUCUUUUUUUUUGUGUACACAUUUUGUUUUUCAAUUUUAUUCUUUAAAAUAUUUCAUUUUCCAAUUGAAAAUUUGAAUUUUAAAUUUUUUUGAAAAUUUUGAAUUUUGAAAAAAAAAAUAAAGAAUACAAUUUCUUAUAAUUUUAUCCAUUAAAUAACUAUUUUUUUUAAAAUUCAAAUAAUUUUUCUCAAUAAAAAACAACCUACACAAUAAAAAAUUAAAUACAAAAUAUCAAAAUUUAUUAUUUUUAUAAUAAUUUUUAAUAAAAAUAUUUAUAAUUUAAUAAUAUAUUGAUACCAAUUUAGAAACUAUUUUUUUUAUCAUCAAAAAAUUAAUUAAUUGAAGAAAACACUUCAGGAGUGUUCUAAUCCUAACCAUCUUACUAUUAAACCCAGAAACAUAAAAAUCUUAGACAUAAUUUAGAAACUAUUUAUCAAUAAUACAAAUUAAUUUAGAAAUCAAUAAGUUUUUUUAGUUUUAAAAUAGGGUUUAAUCAAUAUAUAAAAAUUAAUUAUUUUUUCUUUGUAAAAUUAGUUUUUAUUUAAUGAUUUUGUAAUAGUGAUUUAAAUAGUAUUUUUUUAAAAUAAAAUAUUUUAUUUAUUUAAUAAAAUAAAUAAUUGAAUAAUUAUUUUUAUUAUAAAAUAAUUAAAUAUCCUCUUUUUAGAAAUAACUGUUAUAUAUAUAUAUAUAAUAUUUUUUACCUUUUAAUAUAUAUAAUUUAUCUUUUUAAAAAAAAAAUACUCAAUUGUUGUUAUAAUUUAAUAAAUAAAUUUAUUAAGAAAAAUUUUACUCCUUAUUAAAAAUUGUAGGUAAAAUUACAAACGAUCUUAUCAAUGGAUUUUUGAACAUUUCUUUUCCGUUAGUAAUUUCAAUUACGCUAUGAUAAUCAUGUGCUAGGAAGAAGAUUCAUAGCUAUAGUUGGGCAUCACAUUGUGUGUUGUGAUUGACGUGUAUACAGUGUAAUCUGAGUGACAAGGUUGCAUGGUGGGAAGAGUUGACGGUUUUCAAAAGUACACGCCAAAAUAUGGCGUGGCGUUGCUGUGGUGACUUUAAUGUUGUCAGGAGUGUAGAAGAAAGGAAAGGAGUUAGAGGAAGUGCUAACCAAAAGAAGGAGAUCAGUGGCUUCAAUAAUUUCAGUGAUAAGAAUCUGUUGGUGGAUUUACCUAUUGUAGGUAAGAAGUAUACAUGGUACAAAGUAAAUGGUUCAGCUAAAAGUAGGUUGAAUAAUGCACUUGUCUUUGAAGAGUGGCUUCAAAUGUGGCCAACGACCAAACAAUACGUACAACCGAGGGAGGUAUCAGACCUUUUUGCGUUAGUACUGAAAUCUUAAGUCAAAGAUUGGGACUAAAACCUUUCAAAUAUAUAGAUGCAUGGCUAUUGAAACUUGGGUUCAAGGAGUUGGUGAAGGGUAAGUGCAGGGCAAUAGUACCUCCAAAUUGAAAGACAAAUUGAAGCUCCUAAAGGGUGACCUCAAAGGGUCGAACUGGAGUAUGUUCGAGAACUUGGAUGUGAAUAAGAAGAGGAUUAUGAAGGAAAUCGAAUGUAUAGACGUCAAGGAUGCCAACAAUGAUCUUGAGGAGAGUGACAAACUGAGAAGAUUUGAGUUGUUAGUCAGCAGAGGUUGUUAGAUAAAAAACUUGAAUCCCUUUUCAAGCAAAAAGUCAGAGCAAACUGGUUUAAGCAUGGGGACUCUAACUCCAAAUACUACCACUCUGUAAUUCAGUGGAGAAGGUUUAGAAAUGAAGUCAAAGGUGUUGAGGUAGAUAACCAAUGGUGUGAGGAAUCGAAAGUUCUCCGCGGGGAAGCAAAAAGAGUGUUUGAACAAAGGUUCAUGACUACAUCCGAUGUUGGUGUUAGUCUUUGUUUCGUUUAGUUCAAGUCUCUCCCUGGGGAGGUUAGUUUAAGAUUGGUAGCUGACUUUAUUGAGGAUGAAGUGAAAGAAGUAGUGUGGCAGUGUGAGGGAUCAAAGAGCCCGAGCCCGAACAGGUUUAACUUUAAUUUUAUCAAGAGUGAUUGGGAUACCUUCAAGAAGGAUAUUGUGGAAGUUGUCCAUUUUUUUUUCAAAAAUCGGGGUGCAUUCUGAAGGGGUGUAAUGCCUCAUUUAUUGCAUUAGUUCCAAAAGUGAAAGAUCCCAAUACACUUGACCAAUUCAGGCCCAUAUCUUUAGUGGGAGCUAUAUAUAAGAUCAUUACUAAGGUCUGAUCGUGUCAUAUUAAGGAAGUACUCCCUUUGGUUAUUGAUGAAAAUCAAUCAGCCUUCUUGAAGGAUAGAAUAAUGUUACACAGUGUUCUUAUGGCCAACGAGGUGGUUGAGAAGGUAAGGAGAAGUCCGAGGAGUGGGUUGUGUUUGAAGGUGGAUUAUGAAAAAACCUAUGACUCAGUUAGGUGGAAAUUCUUGUUGGAUAUGUUACAGAGGUUGGGGUUCCAUAACAAAUGGAUAAAGUGGGUCAAAAGAUGUCUGGAGUCGGCCUCAGUGUUAGUUUCGGUUAAUGGUAGCCCUACGGAGGAAUUUAAACCAUCUAGGGGGUUGAGGCAGGGAGACCCCUUGGCACCGUUUUUGUUCCUUGUUGUAGGUGAAGGCUUGGCUAGAUUAGUAAGAAAGCUGUAAAGGAGAAUGUGCUUAAAGGAGUGAAGGUGGGGAGGACUGAGACUGAAUGUUGCAUGUUACAAUUCGCUAAUGACACAUUGUUUCUGUGUGAAGAUUCCUACUCCAACAUUUUCACAAUUAAGGUGAUUUUAAGGUGUUACGAGCUAGCUUCAGGUCUUAAAAUCAACUUCCACAAAUUGAAGUUGGCAGGUAUUAGAGUGGAGAGGAAUUCUCUUGAGACUUAUGCAAAAACUCUUAAUUGUAAUGUUAUGCAAAUUCCAUUUAAAUACCUGGGGUUAGAACUAGGAGGGAACCCAAGGAGAAAACAGUUUUGGGAGCCAAUUGUUGAUAAAAUUAAAGCUAGACUUAGCACAUGGAAGGGAAGAUGUUUGUCGUUAGCAGGUAGAGUAUGCUUAAUAAAAUCGGUCUUUACUGCCAUACCCCUUUUCUACCUGUCGUUCUUUAAAGCUCUGACAUUGAUAUGUAAAAAAAUCUCUAGCAUCCAAAGGAGAUUCCUCUAGGAUUGGGAAAGUGAUCACAAAAGUAUUUCUUGGGUUAGAUGGAAGAAUGUAUGUAAGCCCAUGGAAGAAGGAGGAUUGAGGAUCAAAGAUAUAAGAAAAUUCAAUAAUGCUCUUUUGGCAAAAUGGAAAUGGAGGUUGUUGAGCGAGGAAAAAGGAAAAUGGAAAGACAUUCUUGAAUCUAAAUAUUACUCUGGAACAAGAAGAAAUCAAACUUAUACAAACUACCAAUCCUGGUAGUGUUAAGAUUUACCUAACAUAUGUGGUGAGGGAGAAGGAGAUGGAUGGUUCCAAGAUAACAUAGCUUGGAAAGUUGACUCUAGGGAUAAAGUAAGAUUUUGGGAGGAUGCUUGGGUUGACAAUUGUAGGGAUAUUGUGAAGGAUACCAAAAUUUUUAGGUGGAAAACCCCUUUAAAUAGAGGUAAAAAACCACCGGCGAGAGAGUCAAAACUUCCACUAUAAUGGUACUGGGAGUACAAUGAAUUCCUCUCAAACAAAUUCUCUCUAUAUGGGUUAAACACUUACACCCAAGAGCAGAAAUAGAGAGUAUAGGAAAAUGAGAGAGGAAGCAAGUGUGUGUUGCUAUUUGUUGUGUGUUACAUUGCUUGAAGGAAGCCACUAUAUAGAGUGGUUCUAGGAGACAACAAUAAUAAAUACAAUUAAUGGUAAUUAACCUCCCUUUGAUUGCAAUUGAUUGUGGCAAUUAACCUCCCAUUGAUUGCAAUUGAUUGUGGCAAGUAACCUCCCAAUUAUGACAAGAAAACGAAAGGUGAGUCAUAACCCACAAAUCUCCACCUUGACUUGCCUUUGACUGGAACACUCUCUCGCCAUGAAGCCUUGAUUAAGUAUGGAUAAUACCAGCUAAGUUCAGGCAAUGAUCGAACUUAGCCGAUGGAAGUGGCUUGGUCAACAUGUCUGCAGGNNNNNNNNNNNNNNNNNNNNNNNNNNNNNNNNNNNNNNNNNNNNNNNNNNNNNNNNNNNNNNNNNNNNNNNNNNNNNNNNNNNNNNNNNNNNNNNNNNNNUUUCAAUGUGCUUGGUCCUUGAGUGAUACUUACUGUUCCUGGUUAAGUGGACAACACUCUGACUAUCACAAAAUAUAACAAGAACAUCUUGUUGAAGACCAAGUUCACUUACCAAGCCUCGAAGCCAUAUAGCCUCUUUCAUACCUUCUGUAGCAACAAUAUAUUCUGCUUCAGUGGUGGACAAAACCGCAAUGGCUUUAAGUGAAGAAUACUAACUGAUAGCAGACCCACAUAGGGUAAAAAGAUAGGCUGAAAGUGACCUUCUCCGAUCUAAAUCACCACCAUAGUCAACAUCAACAUAGCCAACUACUCCUCUAGGAUCGGCUCUAUGUUGAUCAAAUACCAAACCAAGAUCUGGAGAACCUUUCAGAUAANNNNNNNNNNNNNNNNNNNNNNNNNNNNNNNNNNNNNNNNNNNNNNNNNNNNNNNNNNNNNNNNNNNNNNNNNNNNNNNNNNNNNNNNNNNNNNNNNNNNUUCCCAGUGUGCCUUGCUUGGAUUAUGCAUGAACCUGCUAACAAUGCUAACAGCAUAAGCUAAAUCAGGUCUAGUACAUACCAUAGCAUACAUGAGACUUCCAAUUGCAUUUGAAUACAGGACAUGUGACAUGCGCCUUUUGUCCUCGUCUGAUUUUGGACACUGAUCUGAUGACAACUUGAAGUGGGCGGCAAUUGGAGUAUUAACAACUUUGCAAUCUCGCAUUCCAAAUUUGUUAAGCAUCUUAAGAACAUACUUAUUUUGUGAUAGAAAAAGUUUUCCAACUUGACGAUCUUUGUUGAUCUCCAUUCCUAAAAUUUUCUUAACAGGACCUAAGUCCUUCAUAUCAAAUUCACUACUAAGCUGAGCCUUUAACUUGUUAACUAAAAAUUUAUCUCUUGCAGCAAUCAACAUGUCAUUAACAUAUAACAACAAGUAUAUAAAUGACCCAUCAUAUGUCUUUUGAAAAUAGACACAAUUAUCAUAGCUACUUCUGGAGUAGCCAUGUCCAACCAUGAAAGAAUCAAACCUCUUAUACCAUUGUCUUGGUGAUUGCUUCAAGCCGUAGAGAGAUUUCUUCAAACGACAUACAUGGUCCUCCUUUCCAGGAAUAACGAAGCCCUCAGGCUGCUGGAUGUAAAUCUCUUCCUCAAGAUUACCAUGAAGAAAAGCAGUUUUCACAUCUAACUGUUCCAGCUCCAAAUCAUACAAGGCAACUAAAGCAAGUAAUAUACGUAUUGAAGUAUGACGAACAACAGGAGAAAAUACUUCAUUAAAGUCAAUAUCUUUCUCUUGAUCAAAACCUCUUACAACAAAUCUUGCUUUAUUCCUUGUACUCUCAACACCAGGGAUCCCUUCUUUUCUCUUAAGAUCCACUUGCAACUAAUGACUCGUUUUCCUUCUGGUAACUUCACCAAUUCCCAUGUUUUUUUUUAGAAGACUCUCAACUUCUUCUUGCAUAGCAGCAAUCCACUUUGUUGAGUCAUCACCAGAGAUAGCUUCAGAGUAAUUAUUGGGUUCACCUUCUUCACCCAUCUCUUGUGCAAUAGUUAAAGCAUAAGCAAUGUUGGCAGAUUCUGCAAUUAAUCUUUGAGUCGGUUUUCUUGGUCUCUGUUGUGGAAGUUCUUGAGCCAUAGACCACAGUUGUGGUAACCCUCGUCGUUGAGGUGGACAUUGCUCAUGUGGAGUCACAUGUUCAUUUGUACCAUUAAUAAGAGUGACUUGAUCACCUUGAGUACUGGAGGAAUUAGGAACGUCUUCCUCAUGAGUGGGUGUUUUAAUCUCAAACUCCACCUUCUCUCGAGCAUCUUCCUGGUCACCUGUAUCAAUUGAGGAAAUGACAAUAUCUUUUACAGAAGAGAGCAUAGCAUUUUCAUUAAAGGUCACAUUCCGACUGUGAAUUACUUUGUGAGAUUCUGGGUCAUAUAAACGAUAACCUUUAACCCCUAAGCCAUAACCCAAGAAAAUGCACUUCUUAGCACGAGGUUCUAAUUUUCCCUCGUUUACAUGAGAAUAAGUAGGGCAACAAAAUAUUUUAAGAUUAGAAUAAUCAACAAGGUUACCUGACCAAACUUCUUCUGGAAUGUUGCAAUCAAUUGAUCUGUUAGGAGAGCGGUUUAUCAGAUAACUUGUCGUUGAAGCCGCUUCAGCCCAAAAAGAUUUGCUCAAACCAGAAUGGGAGAACAUGCAACGAACUCUCUCCAGGAUAGUUCUAUUCAUUCUUUCUGCAACCCCGUUUUGAUGUGGAGUCUUUGGGAUGGUGAAGUGUCUGGAAAUGCCUUCCUUCUUGCUGAAAUCAUUGAAUUCAUUCGAACAGAACUCAAGGCCAUUGUCUGUCCUUAGCCUCUUUAUCUUCUUGCCAGUUUGAUUCUCAAUCAAUAAUUUCCACUCUUUAAAAGUGGAAAAUGCUUCAUUCUUAUGUUUGAGAAAAUACACCCACAGUUUUCAUGAGAAAUCAACAAUAAUUGUCAUCAUAUAACGACAUUUACCUCUGGAGGGAACUUUUGACGGACCCCAAAGAUCUGAAUGAAUAUAAUCCAAAGUACCUUUGGUUCUGUGUAUGGCUUUAGAAAAACUAACCUUUUUCUGCUUACCAAAAAUGAAAUGUUCACAGAAAUCAACCUUUCCAGUACAGUGGUUACCAAGGUGACCCUUCUUCUUGAGGAUUAGAAUUCCCUUCUCACUCAUGUGGCCUAAUCUCAUAUGCCACAACUUGGUGUUAUCUUUAUUGGGUGAGGCAACAACUGCAGAACCUGUAACUGUUGAACCCUGCAGCACAUACAAACUAUCACAUUGAAUUGCCUUUAGUAACACAAGAGCUCCUUUAGACACUUNNNNNNNNNNNNNNNNNNNNNNNNNNNNNNNNNNNNNNNNNNNNNNNNNNNNNNNNNNNNNNNNNNNNNNNNNNNNNNNNNNNNNNNNNNNNNNNNNNNNNNNNNNNNNNNNNNNNNNNNNNNNNNNNNNNNNNNNNNNNNUUCCUUCACCAACAACUUUGCAUUGAGCAUCAUUUCCCAUCAAAACAAGACCAUCAUAAACUGGUUCAUAUGUGGUAAACCAAUCUCUAUUGUGAGACAUGUGAAAAGUACAACCAGAAUCAAGAAUCCAUUCAUUUUUAGACCUUUGUUCAGUGUUGGAAGCUACAAAACAAUCCCCAUCAGAUUCAGUUUCAACAAUACUAGCUUCGGCAAAUUUUUCUGGUUGUUUACCAUUUCCCUUAUCUUCUUUAUCUUGCAUAUUUUUCAAUUUAUAACAUUCAAGGAUCUCAUGUCCCUUUUUCUUGCAAUAACGACAAUAUUUGGAGUUCUUGCCUCUAGAUUUUGACCUAGAUUUAUGUUUAGUGUUCCUACCUUUCUCUUGGUUUCUUCCUCUAACUACUAAUCCUUCACCAGAACUUUCAGAAUGAAUUUGAGUAUCAAAUUUUUCUUUGACUAGUAAAUUAGUCUUGACAUCAUCAAAGCUUAAGGUAAGAUAAUUACCGUAUAACAUAAUUUCUUUUGAAUUGUCGAUGCGAGGGUGGUAGAGAAACAAUAAGUAGAAUGGCUUUAUCCUCAUCAUCAAUUUUAACAUCCAAAUUUUCCAAAUCAAUUAUGAUGGAAUUAAAUUCAUCAAGGUGAGAUUGGAUGGGAGUACCUUCGGACAUUCAGAGUGUAAGGAGUCGCUCCUUUAACCGGAGUUUGUUUGCAAGACUUUUGGUCAUGUAUAGAGACUCCAAUUUACUCCAUAUGCGUGCUGUAGUUUUCUCGUUGAUGACCUCACGCAACACCUCAUGGGACAAGCAUAACUGGAUUGCAGACAAUGCCUUUUCAUCCAUCUCAUUCCACUGCUCCUCCGUUAUAGUGGUUGGUCUCAUCAUUUUACCUGUCAAAACAUUCUUUAAACCAUUCUGGGUGAGAACAGUUAGCAUCUGGACUCGCUAGAUAGCAAAGCUGAUUUUACCAUCAAAUUUCUCAAUAUCCAAUUUUGACAUUAUUGAACAACAGAUCCUGGUUGAAUUAUCGAAAAAUUUUGAUGCCAAUUUGUAGGGAUAUUGUGUGCGGAAGGGUAAUAAUUUCAACCAAAGAUUAUGAGAAAUUAAAGUAAGAAGUAAAGUGAGAAUAAUACCAGAAUUUUUAGGUGGAAAACCCCUUUAAAUAGAGGUAAAAAACCACCGGCGAGAGAGUCAAAACUUCCACUAUAAUGGUACUGGGAGUACAAUGAAUUCCUCCCAAACAAAUUCUCUCUAUAUGGGUUAAACACUUACACCCAAGAGCAGAAAUAGAGAGUAUAGGAAAAAGAGAGAGGAAGCAAGUGUGUGUUGCUAUUUGUUGUGUGUUACAUUGCUUGAAGGAAGCCACUAAAUAUAGUGGUUCUAGGAGACAACAAUAAUAAAUACAAUUAAUGGUAAUUAACUUCCCUUUGAUUGCAAUUGAUUGUGGCAAUUAACCUCCCAUUGAUUGCAAUUGAUGGUGACAAAUAACCUCCCAAUUAUGACAAGAAAACGGAAAGGUGAGUCAUAACCCACAACAACAACAAACUUAUAUCCUUGUAUCAUGGGUUAUAUUUCUUGUCCCUAGAUCACGGUGAGUGAGGUAUGUUCUUGGGGGGAUUCAGGAUGGCUUUGGCAGUUAAGGUGGAGAAGUGUAAGGUAUGAUGGGGAAUCCAUUAUGGAGGAAGAAAUGCUUAAUUUUAUUACUAUAGGAGGUAUGCAUAAGGAAAUCAAAGAUCAUAUGGUAUGGAAAUGGGAUACCAUAGGAAUCUUCUCUGUGAAAUCUGCCUAUAUGAGUUUCAACAAUCAAUCCAUUGGUUACUCGAAUGACGUGUUUACCCUUUAAUGGCAAGCAAAAGCGAUGUCUAAAGCUUUAAUUACCGUGUGGAGGAUUCUGCUUGACAGAUUGCCAACCAGUAAUAACCUCGUCAUGAGGGGUGUGAGUGUUAUCUCUUCAGUAUGUGUGCUUUGUAAAGAGGCGGAAGAAUCAUCCCAACAUUUGUUUCUUGAAUGUGCAUAUGUACAACAAGUUUAGUCUCUUUGUUUUAGAUGGAUUGACAUUCUGUUUGUCGAACACAAGGACCUAAAAUAUCACUUUGAGCAUUUUCACUUAGUACAUAUGUCCAUCAAACAAAAUUAGGUAUGGAAGGAAAUGUGAGUAGCCAUUAUUCAGUGUAUUUGGAAACACAGGUAUCUUCCUUUAAUUUCUCUUUCUCGGAUUGGCUUUUGAACUCUGGCCUAUGCUUUCAAAGUUGCUGAAGUAGAGGUUGAGGUUCGUUUUAGCUACUGUAUGGUCAGAUAAUGUGUGGGUAGUUUCUUCGAAAAUGCAGGGGCUGACGUGGAGAAAAUGAUGAAGUAUCAUAGGAAAAGGGUGUCAACUUGAUGGUGUAUCUGGAGGGGAGGUUCGCUGGAGUAGCAGACUUUUGUUUACAGAAUCAAACCUUUACAAUGGUGUUCAGUCUUAAGGAAUGGAGAGGGAAGAUGAUUCUGGAGUGGUUGAUCUUUAAAGGAAUCCUUGGUGCUGAAUGCGUGGGUUUUAUUGCCGCAGCUAAUCAGGUUUGGGAUUUGCAACCUCAUUCGGUUCUGAGUGAUGAGGCUAGGUGCUUAUAUCUUGGUAGCUGCUGCGUGUGCCUGUUUUUUCCUCUAGCUGCUGCCUUGUAGAGAGUCUAGAGGUGUGAUAUCUGUGACAGGUGGAAGUGUAAUUAUGCAGCUCUGUUAUGUACCAGUUUGGUGUUGUAGUGCUUGGUAUGGAGGAGUUGGUCUAGCAUAGUGCUUCUUGAUGGGUUAAGAAACCGUGUAGGAGGUUGACUAGUGUUGUGUGGUGUUUCUAGUUAAGUUGGAGUGAGACAUGGUGUGUUGCUGAUAGGAAAGGAAGUGCAGCCUAGAAGUCUGCUUUGGUCCUAUGAUCUUGUUUUUUCUGGUUACAUUAUCAAAGCAUUUGGUAUCAUUUAUUUGUUUGAAGCCACAACAUUUAUGCUGAAGCGACCUUUUUGUAAGACAAGUGUUGUGAAUGGAAAAAAAUUAACUGUGACAAAGCGAACCUCCUUUAUAGAAGAAUCCGAAAAAGUAUAAAAAAAAGCAACACCAUUAUUGAAAUCAUUGAAUAAAACAAAGAACAAGAGAAUUAGAUUCCACCCAAAUUAAGUGUAAGGUUUACAUUUCCCUUGAUGUGAGUGAGCAAAGAAUCUUUAGUUUGUGUAUUUAUACAAAGCCUUAGAAACCCAAUAAUAAUGCAGUGGAGAAGCAUUUGAUUAUUAGUUCAGGUGAAGUGGUCAAACAGAGAUAUAAUAUAAUAUUUUGUCUUUAGGUUCAUCAGAUCCUAGUAAUAAUAAUCCAUUUACAUCAUUGAGUUGCAGUUGCAGAUAUAUAUGCAUGUUUCCACCUAUUUCUUCAUAGAUUUUCAGUUUUCAUUCCAGUUCUGUUCAUUAACCAUUUCAUUACAUUUUUUGUUAUGUAUAUGGUUUUAACUGCCAUGCAUGCAUCUAUACUCAUAAGAUGCAUAUAAGUUUAUAUAUAUGGCAUGAUAUGUGAUGCAUGAUGCAUCUUAUAACCUCUUGGUUUGUUGGAGUAAACUUGUUGAUGUCUUUUAGGUUUUCUCAAAUAUAUAGCUCUCUAACCCUAUAUAUAUAUUUAUGCAGGUUUUUCACUUUUGGCUCCUUUCCCACUCUCCAAUAAUGGAAGACUCUCCAGUAAUAGAAGAAUGGUUCCCCGUAACGUUCAAAGCCACUGAACCCAAUUGGAUCCAAACGGAACCCAAAUGGAACCAAAGCUUAGCAAAUAAACGCAUGGAAGUGAAGAAGUCGCAUACAGAGAUAUACGAACCUGACCAAACCAAAAUUAAAGGGAAAGAAGAAAAGAAGAAAGGGAAUGUUUUUUCAACUUUUUUCUGAAAGGAGAUGAACAAGCCAAGUAAUCAAUUUGCCUAAAAGUGAUGAAACUUCUAGUGUAUGAAACCACAAAUAAAUAUGUACUGUUUCAGGAAUAAAACUACUUUCAAUUCUAACAUAAAUAUGCACUAGCUCGAAGUUCAACACACUAAUUUUUAAAAUAAAAAUACUUUUGAAUUUAGCUAAUCUCUUCGACUUAUUAAUGUUGGGAGCAAUCUAUAAGAGGUUGGAAGCAAUCUAUAAGAGGUAGGACUCGAACUCAAAUCCUUUUGGAGAUCAAGAAAACAUUAAUCACUAGAUCAGGCAAAAUCUUUAGUCAUAUUAUAUUUUUAUCAUACUUAUUAUUAAUAAUAUAAUUUAUACAUAUUAUUAUUAUUAAUAAUAAUUAUAUUAAUAAUAAUAAUAUAAAUUAUAUUCAUAUUAUUAAUAAUAAGUAUAAUAAAAAUCAUAAAAUACUAAAGAAUUUGUUUGGGGUAGUGGUUAAAUUUUCUUUGGUCCCUACAUACGAAUUAUAUUCGUAUGUAAUACCUGUUUACAUACGGAAUAGAAUCUUGUACCGCCCUGGUGGUCGGGUGUGAUGACGUGGCAUCCUCCUACAGUAUAAGCGUGUUGACAAGGCGCCAGGCUGGCAGAAGGGAAGGAAGUCGGGGGGCACGUGUGGUCGCCGGUUGUUAAGUUGGCGUGUUCCGAUUUCCAGAUUACCAGAAUAGGCGAUCGCCAGUUGAAGAUGAAGUCGCCCGAUGUAGAUUCAGGCGACCUAGUCAUUGGAGAUCGCCAGAGAAAGCACAUCGCCGGAGAUGAAGGAGAAGCAGAUUGUGAAGGCGGCCGGCGAGACCACAGGGAAGGUGUAUGGAGGCCCUAAACUCGCCAGUUCCAGCAGAGAUCGCACUCCCAAGUUAGCUAUGCACUGGGCAGUACCAUGCAUAAGUAACUUAGCCAAAAUGAGAGUAGAAGCAGCGCCAAGUCAAGGAGCCUCCAGAUGAUGGCACGUGUACAGUUGGAUGCGAGCCACGUGUCCAAGUCUGUAACUGCCAGGAGAGAGAAAGCCACCAGGUAUAUAAGAGUUCUUAACAAACUUUCUAAGGUACGCACGUUCAGUUCAUACACUUUACGCUUGCGAGUGAUAGAGCUGAUUGUGAGAGAGGAUUUGCACGGUUCUUGUUCUUAGUAUUUGGUGAUACCGUCACUGACUUGAGCGUCGGAGUGCGAUCGGCCGCAGCGGCGCCGUGUUGUUUCUUUGCAGGUUCUUGAAGUAGAUCCCGGAAAGGAACGGAGGAGAGAAGCGGUGCGCACGUCGAUCCUUUGACGAGGCAUUCUCCAGCGUUCCGGUCAAUAGGAAGGAACUGUUUGGGGUAGUGGUUAAAUUUUCUUUGGUCCCUACAUACGGAUUAUAUUCGUAUGUAAUACCUGUUUACAUACGGAAUAGAAUCUGUAUGUAAAAAUCCGUAUGUAAUGUUGAUUUUACAUAGGGAUUUUGAUCCCUAUAUAAUUCGCGUUUUUCUUGUAGUGACAUCUGAGAGAGCCUUUUGCGAAUCAAGUUUUUGUGAGAAUAUUUUUUUUAAAGAUCAUUGAGGUUUCUUGGGGCAAAAUUUUCAUCAUCUUGUGGAGCUAAUUUCACUGCUAUUGUAGAAUUAAGAGCUUCAAUUGUGUUUCUUGUGUUACAAUUCAGAUUAAUUUGUUCAAUUUUUUAAUUAGUUUUGGAGGAUUAAGGCAUUGCCUUCUGCUCAUGUUACUGCUUGAAGGGUGUUGAAAAAUAAGAUUGUCACUAAGGUUAAUUUACUUAGACGUGGGAUUGCGGUCGAAAGCGCUCUUUGUUGUUUUUGUGGUGUAAAAGAUGAAGAGAUUAAUCAUCUGUUUUUUUAUUGUAGAAUAGCAUGGUUGGUGUGGAACCUCUGUUAUGAGUGGUUAAGCAUUUUGUUGGUUGCCCCCUGUUGUUCUUACUCUCAUUUUUUGCAGUUCAGGUUGUGCAAUGCUCUUGAGUUGGUCAAUUUAGGGGAUGGGGAGUAUUUGGAUUGCGGUGGUUAGUGAGAUUUGGAGUCAUAGGAACAAGAAUUUAUUCAAAGAUGGAGAAAGGUGGAGUGUUGGACUACUCUGAGAUCUUUUCUUUAGCUCAAUUGAAUAUUUGGUCUUGGAUUACUUCUAAAUUCUCCACUGCUUGUUUCUCUUAUUCUGAUUGGUGUCUUGUUCCUCUGGAUUGUUUUGUUUCGCUUUAACUUGUUUUGUGAUUUUGGUUUUUAGCAGGGCUAGUUUUGAGUUGUUGGUUGGAAGGUGUGUGUUGUAAGAAUGUCUCAAGUUUUUUGUAUAUGGGUUGGAUCACCCUUAAAGUAUAUAUUGUUUAUUACUGAUAAAAAAAACUGUGUUGUAUUUUUGUAUUGAUUGUUAGCCAAGAUAAGAUUUCUUGGUGGAUAGUUCUGCUGUAACAUUGUAGUGUUUGUUUUACUUUUUGUAGUAUUCAAGAACAGUUUGGUGUAUUUUCUUAUAAUGAAUUUUAUUUUUAGUGAUGAAAAUCACCUUGGUGUGAUGUGAAACUAUAUUAGCUCUCUAUAUGAAUGAACCAACAUAAAAUUCUUGGUGUUUUUUUUGUAUCUGUCAUAUUAGUUGUAAAAUUAUUUUUCUUUGUAUUGUUAUAUUUGAUUGUGCUUGUUUGUUUUGUGUGUAGGAUUUUUUUUUGAAAAAAUUUCAUUAGUUUUCCAGUUUUAACAAGUUUAAAUUUUUUUUAACAUUAUGUAUUGACUAAAAAAUCUAAUGUGUUAAUAUACAACGUAAUCCGUUGAAAUUAAUUUUUGUAAAUUGAUGUUUUAUUAAAUAGAUUUAAAACUUCUAACUGUUAAUCUUCUUUAAACUUUAAUUUGUAGUUUUCUAGAUUCUAUUAAAAAAUUGACAUGACACUGAAUUUGAAUUAAACAAAUUAUUGCUGAAAUAUUUUAAGCCAAUUCACCCUCCUCUUGAACUUAUUUUCUCCCUAUGUCAAAAAUUUCUUCCAAACCUACUAUUAUGCACAAUUCCCCUUCUCAUACUGCUUAUAUUGGUAUACACAAUAUAAUAUCACAUGAUCAUUCCUAUGUUAGUUCCUUAUCUUUUUCUAUAGAUGAUUAUCAUUCUCCUAGUACAAAAUUGAUACAAACGUUCAUCCUAUACUUACUCGUGCCAAAGCUAGAAUCUUCAAACCCCAAGUUUUUCAUACCUCUACUUUAGUUGAUCCUUUUUAGCCUACCAUAUAUAAACAAGCUAUGGUGCAACUUGAGUGGCUCCAAGCUAUGCGAUUUGAAUAUUAAGCUCUUUGUCGCACAUUUAGUUAGAUGCAAAUGGGUUUUCAUGCACAAACUCAAUGGUGAUAAAGCUCUAUUGGUUGUCAAGGGUUUCCAUCAAACUGAAGGUCGUGAUUACAUUAAUAUGUUUACUCCCGUUAUUGAUGACUGUUUUACAGCAAGUGUACCGAGUCAAAAGUAAUUAUUUAUCCCUAAUGACGAAUAUUGAACCCACAAAGAACAAUUAUUUAGAAUUCUAAUCGUAGAAUUCAUUAAGUAUAAGAAUAUAUAUACAAUAAUUUGAUUUGAAAAAUAUUGACAUAAAUUUGAAUGAAAUUAAAUGAAAACAAAAUAAAUGGGUAAAAUAAUUCAAUUAAGAAAAUUUGGAUUGGGGUUAAUCCUUCUCAUUCGUCUGCAUUUUUAAUAAAUAGAAACAUAUAACAUUCCAUCUUAAUUUCUCGCAUACGAAAUUAUUAAGAUUGUCUCUCCUAAAUAUCGAUUCAUUAUAUAUUUAUAAAAAAAAUCUUAUCAUUAAAAAUAAAUUUUAUAAAGCAAUUAACAUUUCAAAUGUAUUUCUAGCAUUCAAAUAUGUUAAGCAUUAUCAUCUAGAUCAGAUACUCAUAAGUACUUUCCAGUCAAAUCUAAGGAUCAAAAUCAUAAAUAAAGAUUCAAGAUUUGAGAAUAAAAUGAUAAUACCAAUAUAAAUCAAGAACAAAAUUUUAUAAAUAAAUAUCAUCUCAAUACAUAAGAGUUUGAACAAAUUACUUUCAAUCCCAAAGAGAAGAACUAGUCACUCAUAUUGGUCAUUAUCAUGGAAAGCAAGAAAAAAAUAUCCAAGGUGUUUCUCCUUGACAACAACCUUCUCUAGGGUUUCCUUCCUUUGGUUUCCCUCCCAGGUCACACCCUUCUCUUUGCCUUACGCCUUUUAUUUAACCUAAUUGAGCUUGGGCUAAGUGAUAUAUCGCUUAAAUGAGAUAUUACUUGCUUGAGCAAGUUUUACGAGAACAAGCUCAACUUUACUGGAGUGAACUCGCUAAAGCGAGCCUUGGACGAGUUCUUUUGGAGUGAUCUUGUUUAAGAAAGUUUUCAAUGCUCAAACUUUAUCUUUUCAUCUUGUCUUUAACUUGUCCAUUCUCCUUCAACCUUUUUCUCUUCAUCUUCCCCUAGAUUCAUAAGCUCACUCACACUCUUCUUGUUAUGGGCUUUCUUCCUUCUAAAAGUGGUUCUUCUCUGGGAAUUUUACCAAAGUGGUGCAGUUUUUUUUUAGAUUUACGUAAAUGGGCAGAUUCAGAAAAUAUUACAAGAAUGGGCAUUUUUUGGUCAAAGUUGCCAAUGGUGUAGGCAACAUAAAUUAAAUUCAUUAAUCCCUCUACUUUUCUUUUUUUAAGUAAAGUUUUCAACCUGAUUGACAACUUUAGUUUAAAUAAAAUUGAAUACUGGAUUGACAACUUUAGUUUAAAUAAAAUUGAAUACUGGAUUGACAACUUUAAUGUAUUUUAUCUCAAAUGAAAUUUCCAAUUUUGUUGGCAAAUUUAGCUGAUUUUUUAAAAUAAUUAAUAUUUUUUUUAAAAUGAAAGAUGUAUAUAAUAAUAAUUUAAAAAUUAUUUAAAUUUACAUGAAGUGAAUAAAAAUAAGAAUAUUGAGAAAAAAUGUAUUUUUAUAGAUAAUUAAUAUUAAAAAAUUAAACUAAAUUUUGUUUUCACAAAAAACAAAGUUACCUAAAUUUAAGUUGGAUUUAAAAUAGGUUGUGUAAUAAAUGUAAAAUAUUUAGUACUUUUUAAAUAUUAUUAAAAUUAAAAAUAUUUUUGUUGUUUUUAAAAAUCUGAAAUUAUGUUUGUGAAAUAACGUUUAUAGUUGAUAAAAUUACAAAUAAAAAGGGUAGCGUUUAAACAAUAUUUAUAAAAUGAUAUUAUACAUGAUUAGAAAAUAGAAAUAUAGGAAAAGUUGUCAUCUAUGAGAAGCUGUGCCACAUGGUGGUCUUCUUCGUUGUCUUCGUGGUCGUCCUUGUGGUUGUUGUUCGGACCGAAGGGUAGGAGGGGNNNNNNNNNNNNNNNNNNNNNNNNNNNNNNNNNNNNNNNNNNNNNNNNNNNNNNNNNNNNNNNNNNNNNNNNNNNNNNNNNNNNNNNNNNNNNNNNNNNNGCCUUCGAUUUCAUUGUCAUCACUCUGAUUUUCGGACACUUGUGAAGACAUUGUUGGUCGAUAAUACUGCAUAGAUGACAUUGGAUUGUAGGCAGAUAGGGGGGUCAUGGUAGAGGUUGCAAAGGGAUUUGACGGGCCAACAAACAAUUGUUGUUGAGAUUGAAAUGUUGAGUAGUUGAAAGGUGGUUGAUGGAAUGAUGAUUGGAAUGACAUGUGAGAUUGAUCCCUAUAUCCGAACAACUGGGUCGGUUGAACACCUGGUGGACGAAAAGAUUGUUGUUCAAAUGAUUGAACUUGAGAAGAAGACCCGACAUGAUGUUGAUAGUGAGGUUGUGUAGUCUCCUGCGGCAUAUCAUACUGUUUUGAAAAUAUGUGUUAAUUUUGGAUGAGUGAAUGAAGAAUAAUAAAUAAUUUUGUAAUUGAACUUACAUCAUCAUCAGACGAUGACUGUAUAGGCGUGAUGUAGCGGAUAGUAUGGUUGAUGUACCAUUGCAUGUAUGUUGAGUUGUCAUGCAAAUGGCCAUUUCCGUUAAACUGAUUUCCGUGAAUUAGAUGAUUACGACGGUCAUUCCACAUAGCUAUCCAUGCGACAUGAUAUUGUGGUUCCUCCUAUGUGCGUCCUAUGCAUCCUCCGAGUCCACCUAACGUAAGCAAAGAAAUAUUAAGAACUUCGUUUUCUUAUCUCGAAAAUUAAUACAAAAAUAACAUACCUUUUACCGAGUGGGAAACCAAAUCCUUAUUGAACUUCUUCAUCGAUCAAUGGUUGAAGUUGUGGAGAAAAGCAUGUUAGGCGUUCCCAUGCCCAACACUGUAAAAGCAGCGUGCAACCUCCAACAUUAUCUUGAUUAAAGUCUAUUCCAUGAUCGAGCGCACGAUACAGAGAAGCCAAUACAGCUGACCCCCAACUGUAAUUCCUUACGUUGUUCAAGUCAGCCAACAAUAAUAGAUACAUUAAAUGUACCUUACUACCUGAAGAAUCAGGCAUCAAUAGACUCCCAAUAAGUGUUAAUAUGUGGGCUCGAGCAUGUUGAGCAAUAACAUCAUCGGUUGCAUUAUGUGGCAGUUCCUGAAAAGUGUUGUUAAGCCAAGACAACUUAAUUGCAUUUCCUUUUAUCGCUGUUGAGGGUGGUAUAAAUUCGAGCAACUGGUCACAUAAAGAUACUAAAUCACCACAAGUAAUCCCGGUGACAACCUGUCCAUCAAUAGGUAAACCCAAUAUUAAUUCCACAUCUUCCAAAGUAACAGUUGUUUCACCGAGAGGAAAGUGAAAGGUAUGAGUCUCUGUUCUCCAUCUUUCCACUAAUGUUGUAAUUAGUACAUGGUUGAAGUCAAUGUGCUUAAAUUUUAACAAAUGUCCAAAACCAGAAUGAUCAAUUAACCGUUUCACUCGUUGGUCAAGUAUAUCCUCAUGCUUUAGUACCCAACUUGCAUGUCUUCUGGGUCUCAAUAGUCUUUCAUUACCUUCCCAUACGUAUUUGGUAACAUGUUUCUCUUGGAGUCGCAAUAUAGACAUAUUCGCGGGAAGACGAUGAGAUGCUAUAAAAUUCUAAUAAAAUGAUUCCUGAAAAUACAACCAAUUUUUAUAAUACCUUUAUAGAUAAUUCCUAUUAAAAUGAUAUUAUCAAUAAACAUUAAUUUUCUUAAAUUAAAGAUAACGAAAAGAUAUUUACACAUACUAAUUAAAGAGUACCGAGUAUAACAUAUUAUAAAAAUAUUGAUUGAAAGUAAUAUAUUAUGUACAAACAAUAAAAAUAUAAGAAAAAUAAAAUAAAAAUAUAUUUUUUAGCAAUUGUUUGUCAAUAUUUAAUAUCAAUUAAUUAUAUUAACUUGCCUUUUUUUUUAUAAGUUAAUAAUAAUUAAAUUUUAUGUUUUAAAGUAUCAUUUUUAAAUUCCUUUAACAGAGUAUAAGUAUUAAGUAUUAAAUAUUGUUUGUAUGGAUAACUAUUAAUCUUUGUUAGCAUGUGCAUGUGCUUGCUACUACAAUUAAAUAAAUAAUUAAAAUAUUAGAGAGAACUUACCUUUGUGAUUGAAUGCCACCCUUAAGCACUCUGGAACAAUGGCAAAGCUUGAGAGUGUUUUGCAUAGGACACAGACUCUAUUAAAUAGAGUUGCUUGUGUGAGUUUCAAAAAAUGAAAGUUUGAAUUCAAACUUCAUUUUCAAAAGAAUCUCUGCCAUGAAAAAAGAAUCUCUGCCAUGAAAACUAUAGCCAUGACAUAAAGCUGGACACAAAAUAAAGUAUUGCUUGGUGGUGCACGAAAUUGCAAACAAAGUUGCCAACCAUGAAGGCAACUUUUAAUAUAAGUUGCCAAUGGUGAANNNNNNNNNNNNNNNNNNNNNNNNNNNNNNNNNNNNNNNNNNNNNNNNNNNNNNNNNNNNNNNNNNNNNNNNNNNNNNNNNNNNNNNNNNNNNNNNNNNNNNNNNNNNNNNNNNNNNNNNNNNNNNNNNNNNNNNNNNNNNNNNNNNNNNNNNNNNNNNNNNNNNNNNNNNNNNNNNNNNNNNNNNNNNNNNNNNNNNNNNNNNNNNNNNNNNNNNNNNNNNNNNNNNNNNNNNNNNNNNNNNNNNNNNNNNNNNNNNNNNNNNNNNNNNNNNNNNNNNNNNNNNNNNNNNNNNNNNNNNNNNNNNNNNNNNNNNNNNNNNNNNNNNNNNNNNNNNNNNNNNNNNNNNNNNNNNNNNNNNNNNNNNNNNNNNNNNNNNNNNNNNNNNNNNNNNNNNNNNNNNNNNNNNNNNNNNNNNNNNNNNNNNNNNNNNNNNNNNNNNNNNNNNNNNNNNNNNNNNNNNNNNNNNNNNNNNNNNNNNNNNNNNNNNNNNNNNNNNNNNNNNNNNNNNNNNNNNNNNNNNNNNNNUAUUCCGUCUGGCAGUCAAUCCGGACAUAACAUCGAUUGCGAACUCAAUGAACACAUGUCUUUCAUAUCAAAGGAGGCGACAUUGAAUGCCAUAAAACGAUACCACAUAGACAACGGUUACAAAUUUGUUGUCGUGGAAUCAAAGCCAGACAGAUAUGUGGCUCGGUGCAUACAUCAUGAUGUAGGGUGCGAAUGAGAUUACGAGCAUCUUUUAGUAAAAUCCGAAGUCAAUGGGAGAUAAAAAAAAUUGAUGCACAACAUACUUGUUUGUCAAAAAAUCUUACGGCAGACCAUGUUAAUUUGGAUUCAACCCAUAUUGCGUCCAUGGUGCUGACUUCAGUCAAAGCAAACCCUUCUGUCCCAAUUAAAAGCUUAAUUGUAGAAAUAAAAAAUCUGCAUGGCUAUACUAUCAUGUAUAGAUGCUUGGUUGGGAAAACAGAAAGCUCUUGCUUUGACAUUUGGCGAUUGGGAACAUUCCUACAAUGAUCUUCCUAGAUGGUUGGAAGCAGUAAAAGAAAGCAAUCCAGGGACAAUUGUGCAGUAUAUUGCUUCUCCUUGUAUGGUUGAUGGUGUUCAAGACAAUUCGUGUUACACGUUGGAUCGGGUGUUUUGGUCUUUCAAGCCUUGUAUCGAUGGUUUCAAUUUUUGCAAGCCCAUUGUACAAGUUGAUGGGACAUUUCUAAUCGGAAGAUACCAUGGAACAUUGUUGACCGCAACCGCUCAAGAUGGGAAUCGAAACAUAUUUCCAUUGGCGUUUGUGAUUGUUGAAGGCGAGACUCGGGAGGCUUUAAUUUGGUUCUUCCAAUUAUUGCGACAAUAUGUGACACCUCAUUCGAAUUUGUGCAUGAUUACUGAUAGAGGAACCGAUAUAAUUUCAGCAUUACAAUUCGAAGAAGUUGGAUGGGAAGGAGAGGGCCUUGUUUCUGUGUAUUGCAUACGCCAUAUCGCAUCGAAUUUCAACAAAAAAUUCAAAAAUGUUGAGCUGAAACGGCAAUUGAUUAACAUGGGUAAUGACAUUCCUUACCUUCUCUCACAGAUAAUUAUGACCUUUUACCAUUUAACUAAUUUCAUUUACUUCUUUAUGACAGCUUAUGAGAUGAAACAACCCAUAGUACAAGCAAAGCUAUCAGUUAUGCGAUCUGAGUUCAAGCAAGCAUUUUCUUGGAUAGAUCGCAUACCAUUAGAGAAAUGGACUCAAGCAUAUGAUGGGGGAAAGAGGUAUGGUCAUAUGACCACAAAUCUAGCAGAAUGCAUUAACUCUGUGCUUAAGGGAGCUCGUUCUUUGCCGAUUUCCGCUUUGGUUAAGGCAACUUUUGAAAAAACAAAAACAUGGUUUGUUGAACGAGUCUUCAAAAUAGACACCAUGUUACGCGCAGGUCAUUAUUAUUCAGAAGAUAUCACAACCUUACCUUAAAAAAAAAAACAAGAUUCGUCUAUGUGUUUUGUGAAAAGGUUUAAUGUAGAAAAUUCUGAAUUUGAUGUCCAAGAAUUAGCCACCCCCCAACAUGGUCGGCGACCUCAAUCAUAUACAGUUAGAUUAAAUGAUUGGUGGUGUGAUUGUGGCCAUUUCCAAGCUCUUNNNNNNNNNNNNNNNNNNNNNNNNNNNNNNNNNNNNNNNNNNNNNNNNNNNNNNNNNNNNNNNNNNNNNNNNNNNNNNNNNNNNNNNNNNNNNNNNNNNNCUCCACACGAUUAGAAAGGCAUAUCAAGUUGAAUUCCACCCCGUUCAAAACGAGGAUUAUUGGUCUACUUAUACCGGGCCAAAUUUCAUACCAGAACCCCACAUGCGACAUAAAAACUCGGGACGACCAAUUACGACUUGUUUGCAUAAUGAAAUGGAUCAAUCAAUUCAGAACAAGACAAAAAGAUGUUCUUACUAUCGCAAUGAAGGUCACAACAGAGGAAAUUGUCCAUUUAGACAGUAGAGUCAUGCUUUGUAAUGUUGUUCUCAUCAAAUAUUUUAAUAUCAUCUUCUUUUAAUGACUUAUAUUGAAUAAUUUAUUUUAUUUUUAAUACAUUUAUUUUACAUAAAUACAUGUAUAUUAUUUCUUUUUACAUAUUAUAUAAUUUAUACUUUCAUAUAUUAUAUAAUCUAAAAAUUUAUAAAUAAAUUAUAUCACAUUUUUAUAAGUGUAUUUUUAACUUUAACGAUAUUUAAAAAAUACUAAAUAUUUUUAAUUUAUCAAACAAAUCAUUUUUAAUCCAAUUUAUUUAAAAUUAUUGUAAAAAUAUUCAUUUUAAUUAUUCAACUUUAUAUAUCAUUUUCUUAAAUAAAAAAAAAUUAAAUUUUGGUAUUAUUUAUAAAAUACUUUUUUUAAUUAUAUAUUUUUAUUUUUAAAAAUAUUAAUUAUAUUUUUUUAAAAAAAUAAAAUCAAUUGAACUUGGCAAUUGAAUUGACAAUUUUAAUUGAGAUAAAAUACAUUGAAGUUGCCAACCCAGUAUUCAAUUUUAUUUAAACUAAAGUUGCCAAUCUAGUUGAAAAUUUUAAUUAAAAGAAUAAAAGUAGAAGGGUUAAGGAAUUUAAUUUAUGUUGCCUACACCAUUGGCAACUUUGACAAAAAAAUGCCCAUUCUUGUAAUAUUUUCUGAAUCCGUCCAUAUUUAAGUAAAUCUAAAAAAAAACUGCACCAUUUUAGUAAAAUUCCCCUCUUCUCUCUUUAGGUUAUGCAAUAAUGAUAUUUUUUUUUUCAUUCUUAUCUACAUUGAUGACAUUAUCUACAUUGAUGACAUCUUGAUUACUGGUAGUUCCCUAGUUCUUGUUAAAAGUUUUAUCAAAUUAUCGAGUGACAAGUUUUCAUCGAAAGACUUGGGUUUGUUAGCUAAAUGAUGACAACUUUCAUCUACCUCAUUAUUAGGGAUCUUCUACAUCGUGCAAAGAUGAUCAAUUCAAAUCCUCAAUCCAUUCAUAUUGUUUUGUCACCUUGUUUAACUGAUGAUGGAUCUGUGUUGUUGAAGAUCCUAUUCUCUAUUGCUCUAUAGCUGGUGCUUUUUAUUAUGUCACAAUUACUCAAUUGAAGCUCUCUUUCUAUGUUAAUAAAGUAUGUCAAUAUAUGCAUCAUCCUCAAGUUCACCAAUGAAAAGCAGUGAAACACAUCCUUCAGCACUUAGUUGGAACUUCAAACCAUGGUUUUCAUCUUCGUUCAUGCUUAGAUUUCUCCAUAGAUGGUUUUUGCGAUUCUGAUUGGGGCUCCAGCUUGGACAAUCGAAAAUCCACUACAGGCUACUACAUUAUGUGUGACAAAACCUUGUGGCUUGGUCUUCUCGCAAAACAAAAGGUUGUUUCUCCAAGCAGCUUAGUCUUUUCUUAAUUGAAGUACACAUUUCUACUUCUACACCAAAGUUAUAUACUGAGACGAUAUUGGUGUUGUUCUUCUCGUGAUCAAUCCAGUUAUGCACUUUGAACUUAAUCUUCAUUUUGUGCGUGAUUGUGUCACAAAAGCAUCUUCUUCUAAUUGCAGUUUCAAGUAGUUGAUUUACUAACCAAACUAAUUUAUGGUGCUGUCUUUCAUAAGUUCAAGUUCAAGAGUAAACUUUUGAUUGUUGAAAACUCUUCCAUAAGUUUAUCAUAUAGAUAAAGAGAGAGAAUAACACCAUUUAAGUAAGAUAAAUGUUGUGCAUGGAAAAAAAAAUUAACUAUGCGACAAAGGGAACCUCACUUUAUAGAAGAAUCCAAAAAGGUGAAAAAAAAGCAACACCAUUAUUGAAAUAAUUCAAUAAAAGAAAGAACAAGAGAAUUAGAUUCCAGCCAAAUUAAGUGUAAGAUUAACAUUUCCCUUCAUGUCAUGUCAGUGAGCAAAGAAUCUUUAGUUUGUGUAUUUAUACAAAUCCCUUACGAGCCCAAUAAUAAUGCAGUGGAGGAGGACCAUUUGAUUAUUAGUUCAGGUGAAGUGGUCAAACAGAGAUAUAAUAUAAUAUUUCGUCUUUAGGUUCAUCAGAUCCAAGUAAUAAUAAUCCAUUUACAUCAUAUGCAUGUCUCCAUCUAUUUCUUCAUAGAUUUUCAAUUUUCAUUCCAGUUCUGUUCAUCAUUAGCUAUUACAUUACAUUUUUUCUCAUGUUUAUGAUUUUAACUGAGUAUAAUGAACAGGAGUGGUGUGUAUGGUGGGAAGAUUCAAGUGGUUUCACUCUUUUUUCUUAUAUGUUUGAAUAUUAGCAAAAUGAGGGCAUGUUUGUUGGCUUCAACUGUGUUGGAUUAUGCUUGCAGACUGUCAUACAUGCAUCUAUACUGAUAAGAUGCAUAUAAGUUUAUAUAUAUAUAUAUGGCAUGAUAUGUGAUGCAUGCAUCUUAUAUAUAACCUUUUGGUUUGUUGGAGUAAACUUGUUGAUGUCUUUUAGAUUUUCUAAAAUAGCUCUUAAUCCUAUAUAUUUAUGCAGGUUCUUCACUUUUUCUCCUUUACCACUCUCCAAUAAUGGUGGAACCCAAAUGCAACGAAAGGUUAAGAAAUAAAGCAAAAGGUUAUAAGUUUCAAAAAGACAUAUACGAACCUGCCCAAAAUGGAGACAAAAUUAAAGGAGAAAAUGAAAACAAGAAAGGAAAGUGUUUUUCAUCUCUUUUUCCUUUUAAGUGUAUCAACUUUUAAUUGUAUUUUUUGCCUCAAAGUGAUGAAACUUCUAGUGUAUGAAACCAGAAAUAAAUAUGUAUUGUUUCAGGAAUAAAAGUAUUUUUAAAUUUUGUUUCAUUUCUGAUAUAAACAUGCACUAACUCGAAAUUCAACACACUAAUUUUUAAAAUAAAAGUACUUUAGAAUUCCGCUAAAAUUAAUUAAAAUAUCUUAAUGUAAUGCCUCACUUAAUCUAAUAUAUUAGUAGAUUAAUAUAAUAAUAUUUCACAAAUAUACUAUAUAUUGAAUCUCUAUAUAAAAUACAUUAUACUUGAUAUUCGACCAUAAUUUCUUAAAAAAGAAUAUAUAUACAUCAAAUCCACAUGAAAUAAUAAUAGUUAUUAACUCUGAAUAGUUCGCGUACAAUUAUGAUCAUAGCAAAUCAUACACACAUAGACGAGGAUGAAUUACUUUAAAAAGAGUUAUCAAUCAACAUUUAUACCUAAAUACAUAUUUAUACAUAAAGAAUACAUAUGAUAUUAUCCAAAUAUAACAUUUAUGCACAACAAAUUACAAAGAUUCACAUACAAUAAAAAAAUGCAUGAAUUUUUAACUAUAUUUCAAAAAAUAGUAUAAUUUGUUACACUCAUUUUCUUCUACAAGAUUUAUAUUAAAUAUAUCUUCUUAGAGUUUCUUACACUAAAAAAAAAUAUUAUUUUAUGGACUUUUAUUUACGGAUAUAAAUCUGUAUGUAAAUUUAGCAUUAUUUAUGGAUAUUACCCACGAAUAUAAGUUCGGUAAAUUUAAUAUUACCUACAAAAAUUAUCCACAUAUCUGAAUUCGUAGGUAAAUUCAACAUUACUUACAGAUUAUUACCCACAGAUCUCUAUCUAUAGUAAAUUUUACAUUAUCUACAAAUUUUACCAACGAAUCUAUAUUUAAAAGUAAAUUCAAUAUUAAUAUUAAUGUAAACAUUUUUAUUUAAAGUACUAAUAAUAUUAAAAAUACUAAUAAUUUUAAUAGUUUUAAAUUUUUUAAUAAUAUAAAUAAUAUUGAUGACAAUAAUUAUAUACAUAAUAUUAAAAAUAUUAUUAUAAUAUGAAUAAUUAUAAAAUUAUAACAAAUAUUAAUAAUAAAUAACAAUAAUAAUCAUAGAUAUGCAUAUUAAUAAUAUUAGUAAUAUUAAUAAUAUUUAAUAAUAUUUAAUAAUAUUUAUAAUAUAUAAUAAUAUUUAAUAAUAUUUAAUAAUAUUAAUAAUAUUUAAUAAUAUUGAUAAUAUUUAAUAACACCCUCCGAGCAUUAACAUGAGGAGAAAGCAAUCCUUUAAUCCUCCAAAACCAAUUAAGAGUGGAACAAAUUAACCUAAAUUGUAAAACAAGAAACAAUUGAAUCUCUUAAUUCCACAACAGUAGUGAAAUUAGCUUCCAUAAGAUGAUGAAAAUUUUCCUCCGAAAAACCUCAGCGAUCUUUCAAAAAUAAUUUUUCACAAAAAUAUAAUUCACAAAAGGCUCUCUCCGAUGUAAAAAUUGAAAGUGUAUGUGUUACCUAAUUCUGAUACAAUGUAGACUUUUUUUUAUAAAGAAUUAACAAUACUGAUUUGUUAAAAAUGUGAAAUUUAGUAAAAUAAUAGGUUGAAAAACUCAAAAUAAUGUAUUGAUUUUACUUAAAUAGUAUAUCUUAUGUUUCACUAAUGAUCUAAUCAUAUAUGAAUAAAAUGGUGAAAAAUUGAAGUAGAUUUUUUAUCAACAUUUUUGACAGGGUUAAAAUAAGAAAUUAUUGUUUAUUUUUACUAAUAAUAUUUUUAACGAGUCUGAUGAAAAAGUUGUGAUGAGAUACACUUAAUUUGAUCAUGCAAUUGUGGAGAGAAUCUGAAAGUGAGUUGUAGUAGCAUCUUUAAAAGAAAUAGAACAUAUUUGAAGGGAAGAUCAUAACUUGAUGUGACAAAUUAAAUUUAUGCCAACUCUAUGUUUUUUUCUACCAAAAACUAAGAUUUGCAAGAAAUAAAAAUAUUAAAAAUUUGAAAAAUUAUCAAAAGUGAUAAAAAACGGGAAAUUUUCUAAAACAUGGUGAAUGAAAAAUACAACUGGAUUAAUAAAAUACCCAGACUAUGGUGGACCAUUUAUGCAUGUAGUUCAGGUGGUCCAAUACAAUAAUUAAGGGUAGUUCGUUUGAUGACUAAAAUUUCAAUAUUGUGGAUGAAAAAAAUAAAAUAUAUUUAAAAAUUUAGUUAUUUGAAUUUAGUUUUAAUAGUUUUUUUUUAUGGAAAAAUGAUAGUUUGACAACUACAAAAGUUAUAUAUAACUUUCUUGAUGUGAUAGAUUUAGAAAUAAAUAUAUAUAAUAAAAGAUAAAUUUGUAAUUAAAUAAUAUACAAAAAAAUGUUAAAAUGGUAGUAUUGGGAGUUGUAAUAUAGUUGUAUAAAAAAAAUUUUGGUAUGUAGGACACUGACACAAGACGGAUACGGACACAGAGAUAAGUAAAAUCUCUAAAAUGUAGAACACGAGAAUACGAAUCUAUAUAUUAGAUAUAAAUUGAAAUUAAAUAUUUAUGUGCAAAAGUAUGUUUCAGAUUCUUUUAGGAGCAUGAAAAUAUUUUUCAUGACUGGUUCAAAAGAAUUUGUUCAUUAUUUUACUAUCAUAAUAAAAAUUUAUACAAUAAAUUUGAGUUUUUAAAAAAUUAUUAUAUUUAUACCAUUUAAAAUUGUGNNNNNNNNNNNNNNNNNNNNNNNNNNNNNNNNNNNNNNNNNNNNNNNNNNNNNNNNNNNNNNNNNNNNNNNNNNNNNNNNNNNNNNNNNNNNNNNNNNNNAGAAAAAUAAAGAUUUAUGAUAUAAAAUUGGAUUUUUAUAAUCGUUAUAAUACUAAUCAACAUAAAAUCAUUACAAGAAAAUCAUUAAAUAACAACUAAUUUUAGAGAUAAAAUAAUUAGUCAUUAUAUUGACUAAGUUAAAUAAUAUUUUACAAAUUAAAAAAUUAUUAGUAUGUAAAAGUAGUUUCUAUUAUCAAUAACAAUAUAAAGUAGAAUUAAGGUAACUAACAUUAGUUACCAAUGUUUUAGCUAUUAAUUGCUUUAAAUUCUAAAAUUAAUGUAAUUGCAAGACAAUUUCUUCUUAUAUCUCGUAAUAUAAAACAUAUCUAAAUUACUCUUUGAUAUUUUUUAUUAAUUUUUUUAAUUUUAGAAUGUGAAAUCGGAGACUUCCUUAAUUUUAUAAUUCAGAAGUUGAAAUUUGUAACUUUUUUCUAUUUCGUAUUGUCCAGUCCGAAAUGUAAAUUGUGUAUUCCAAAAAUUAUAUUUAAGAUAGUACAAUUCAAACUACAAAUUUAUAUUCUUGAUUGUACGUUUUGAAAUGCAAAUUUGUAUUUCAGAUUGUAUAAUCCAAAAUACAAUGUUUAUAUUCUAGAUUAUAGAAUAUGAAGUGAUAUUUCUAACAUUUUUUUAAAUUUUGAAGAGCAUGAAAAAAUCACCAAAUUGUAAUUGUUUAUAUUCUGUAUAGGAAGAAAAGUGUACAUUUUAUUUUCUUAAAAUGAGAAAAAAGUUAUUUAUUUAUCUAAAUAUUUUUUCGUGGCAUUUAUGAAUGAUUUUAUUAUAUUUGGAUUUUAGUAAUUAAAUACAAGAUGUUUUGCAGAAAAUAAGCUUAAGUCAUUUAAGAAUAUAUUUUUUCACCACAUAUUCAUAUAUUGUUAACACACUCGAUUGGUAUACAUAUAUGUUUAUUACUUUGGUUUUAGUUAAAUAUAAGUAUUGCCAUAUAUGGAAAAAAAAAUUAACUGUGACACAAAGCGAACCUCACUUUAUAGAAGAAUCCAAAAAAGAGAAAAAAAGCAACACCAUUAUUGUAAUCAUGGAAUAAAGAAAGAAGAAGAGAAUUAGAUUCCAGCCAAAUUAAGUGUAAGUUUAACAUUUGCCUUCAUGUCAGUGCUCAAAGAAACCUUAGUUUGUGUAUUUAUAAUAAUCCCUUACGAACCCAAUAAUAAUGCAGUAUUAGUUGAGGUGAAGUGGUGACAGAGAGAUAUAAUAUAAUAUUUUCUUUAGGUUCAUCAGAUCCAAGUAAUAAUCCAUUACAUCGUUGAGUUGCAGGUGCAGGUAUAUAUAUGUCUCCACCUAUUUCUUUCUAGAUUUUCAAUUUUCAUUCCUCUUCUCUUCAUUAACUAUUUCUUUGCAUUUUUAUAUGUUUAUGGUUUUCAUUCUCAGUCUCAUGGGAAUUCUCUUCACUCCACGUAAUUAAAACUAUGCAUGAGUUAGAAAUAUCUUUACUUUUAGUUUUUAAGUAUAACUCAAUUCUAUUAUUAAUUUGUAAAAUAAAAUUUGUACAUAUAUAUAUAUGAAUGUGAGUUGUCUUGUGUAAAAAAUGGGGUUGAUUUUAUUGACCCAUGGUCUGCAUACUGACAUACAUCAUUUUUCUUUAAAAUUAAUAAAAAAUAAAUUUACUUUUUAUUUAUUAUAAGUUAAUUUUUUCUUAUUUAAAUAAAUUAGAUAAAUGAUCUCACAUUAUUAUUCUUACGUGCGUGUAAUCAGAUGUUAUAAUUUUCAAUAAAAUUUGAAUUUUAAUCGUAUGAAUAAAUUGACUAAUAAAAUAUUUCAUUAAAUAUAUAUUUUUAAGGUAAUACACGUAGACACAUUAUUAUUAUUUUAAGUUAAAAAAUAAUAUAAAAUAAUAUUAUUAUAUUUAAUUUUUAUUAUAAAAAAACUAAGGUUUGAUUAGUGUAUUUAACAUUUGAUGAAUAUUGAAAUCUAAUCAAUCUGUGAAUUUCAAAAAGAUAAAAAAAUACUAUUAAAUAUUAAAAAUUAUUAUCGAAUUUUGUGAAUGUGUUAUUAAUUAGGGAUUGAGGUUAAUUUCUUCCUACACCUCCAUGUCUUUCUUCUUGUACUGCAUACUUCAAAAAAUACUCAACUUACACUUUGUCAUUUUUCAUUGAAUGUUUUUUCUUUUAUUUCGGAAUGUGAAAUUCGGAGAUUUCCCGAGUUAUAGAAUUUGAAAGUUAAAAUUUGUAUUUCAAAAUGUAUAAUAUUUCAAAUUGGUCAAUCCAUAAUACAAAUUUGUAUUCCAUAUUUUAGAAUUUGGAAUAGAUAAUUUUAGAAAUUUUUAGAAUAUAAGGCUAGAAGAAGAAAUUAUGGGGUGCAUAAAGAAAUUUCUAAAUUUUUAAAAUAUGCGGGUUUGCCCGUGCACUUGACCCAUGCAGGUUGCGGGUUAUGUGGAUUGGGUCUAAACAGGCCAAUAGGUUAAAAUAAACACUUCAGCCCACGUUUUUUCUUAAUCAACUAUAAACUGAUCUGCUCAGCUCAUCUCACUUUUCAUCCUUACUUGUCUUUUUUUUAUCAGCAAUGAAUUAAUAAAAUAAAAUAAAAAACACUCUAGGGGUGUCCCAACCUUUAUACACAAGUCUCUCCUAGUUUAAGAAUUCAUCACAAUCUAAAUAAAACAAACACCACUUAACUCAAAAACUUAAAUUAUUAAAGAGUCCCACCACCCUUGUGACUCCAUGAUAUGGAAUUUCCAACCAUGUAUACGAUCAAACUUUUAAAUUUUCUUUUCCUCAAACUUAGACUAAAAGUGUGCAGGUGCCAUAUUUGAUCAGUUCAGGUAACCAUGACAAUCACGGGAAAGGACGAGCCCCGAAUGAACGGAGCUUUCAAAAACAGGUUUCAGAAUGAAAUCAGUUCACGUGACCCAAAUGAAGGAGAUCCAAAACAUUUUGGUAACCCAAAAGAAGAAAAUCAAAAGAGAAAUAAUAAAUGGAAGUGUUUUUUAUGUUGUUAUGGACAUCAACAAGGAGAAUAGUAAUUUGGAGGGGUUGUAUGUAAUGUUAAAGUGGUCGUAUGGGUUUGGUAUUCUACGUUCUAGGUUGGUCCCAUAGCAAAAUCUUAGUUUUUUCUUUAUCAUUUUCUAUACAGUUUGAGUUGUAUAUGGAGGUUGGAACAACUAAUACUUCAUUUAUAUCAUAUUUCUUUUUUAUUCAUGAAAAAACAAGGAGAAUAAUAAAUUUAUAAUGUUUAAAUAAAUUAUUAUAUACAAAAUGAUUUUUUUACGUUGAGGGUGUGUUUCAAGGAGUGAAUUUUGUCCCAUACGAAAUGAUAGAGAUGAGAACAAAAUGAGUGAAAAAUAAGAGUGUUUGGAUUUAAGAAAAGAGAGUAAAAAAUGAAAGAUAAACUUGUGAGUGUGAGUGUGAGUGUAAUUGAUAAAAAAAAAUUGGUUAAAAUUAAUUUAAAAUAAAACAUGAUUAGUUAUUUGUACAGAUUAAAACAUUAUUCUCUUUAUGGUCCAUGAAUUCAGUUGAAAAAAUAUAUGAAUUCUCUCACAUUGUGGAUAAAUGGAAAAUUGUUAGAAAAUGGAUUUUGAUAAAAUAAAAUUUGAAUAUAAAUUAUUAUAAAAUAUUUAAGAAAAAAUAUAAACUUCAUAAAACUUAAUAAAAUAAAUCAAAAUUGAUAUAAUAAUUUAGCAUCUAAUAUUAAACAUAGAACGAUACAAUACAAUGGGGAAAAGGAUUAAACUACAAUUUAAUUAGGCAUAAAAAAAAAAUCAAUAAUCAUAUCAUGACACUUAUCAUUUGAGAGAGUCUUGUAAGUCAACAAAUUUUUGUUGGAACUAGUCAAUUCUUUUAUGAACCCUUUCAAAACCUUUGUUCGCAUUGAUGUUCAAAGUAUUUAAUCUUUGUUGCAACUCAUGAAUACCACCCCAAAUUUAUGAAAGCAUUUGUCUUUGCAUGGAAGGCUAAACCUUUUUGGUUGAUUCCUCGGUAAUUCCUCAUUGAGUUCUGAGGUUUUGAUCAAUAAAAUUUUUUAUUUUUAAUUCUCUAUAGUAGUUGUUUUAAUAUUCUAAUCUUCUGGAAAACUGGUUUUUGUGAGAGGUUGUACUUGAAUGCAUGAUUAAUCUUAAACUUUGGUUUCUUAGUUAGUUUGAAUUGUUCUAAUUAAUUUCUUGGACGCAUGAUUCGAGAGAGAAGAGAUAAGCAUUCUCAUGGAGUAUACGCAUGGAACAAGGUGGAUUUGACUAAACCACUAGACACAUAUGCUUUACUGGUGAGUUUCAAGUUCAGUUAAAUUAACGCAUGUUCAAUAUGGUUUAGCUAUGUUUGAGGAUUUAGAAAGGAAUAAUCUUUAGAGAACCUAUGAGAAAUUCAUUGGUGGAAGAAUUUGGGAAUUAACCGCUUUUUAUUUGCUGUUUUAAUCUCUUUUAUAUUUUCUGCAAAACUAUCUCAACCACUUUUUAUCAGUAUUGUUAUUGUCAACUUUUAUUGCUUGUAGAUAGAUUCUAAUACUAAUUUAUUGAUUUCACUAUUUGAUUCGUUGGGAGAUGACUUGGGGUCAUCUGACCACUUCUAUAUUAUCAUCUUUCUAGCGUCAGACAAGUCUAUGUUAGAAUCACAAUUUGACAGCAAAAUAGUAACUAUCAAUAUUCAAGUACUUGUGACAUGGUGUCAUAAUAUUACACAAUCAUAAAGUUAAAAAAAAAACACAAUAGUCUACAAACAAGGAUGUGGAGCAUAGCUAAAAGAUGAUAGUUAAGUUCAAUAUUAGAGCAUGCAAAGAACGCAAAUAGAUACGUUUCAUCUGCCAACAUAUCAACAACAGAGAAUGUUUACUACUUUCGUCUGCCAAAGAGAUCCGUAAGCAAAGGGCAAGUCACAUUAGAAGAUCUCUUGGAUAAAAAGCUAAAGACACUUUUUUCUUCAACUUAUGCAUGUCAACUUUGGAAAGAAUAUCUACUUCAUACGACACUACACUUUAGACAAAUUUAAGGAAAGACACACUGUCAAGAAGAGAUAAGUACAUUCAGCUAAUAGAUGUUACAUAAAGAAGAAAGAGCCAUUUAUGUUUGUGUAGGGUGCAUUUAACGCUACAUGAAGUGCAUUUAAUGCAUCCUUCUAUAUCAAGCUCAUCAGACGAAAGAAAGACAUUAAAAAAAGAUUUGAUGCUAAUCAACGACCAAAAACCAUUUCAAAAUGGCCACUUUCUUCAGAACCUAUAUAAAAGCAACUCAAGAAGAAGAAAAGAAUAAUAACGUUGUCUUGUGUUGAAACUCUGCUAAAAUUAUUACGCCUAUCAAACUCUUCGUAAAAGAACAUUGUUCAUGUUCUAUUAGCAAACUAGAAGAAAGUGUACAAAUAUCAUAUACGUCAACAAAAGAUAAUCCCUAUUAGUGAGCUAUCAUGUGAUUUGUUGAUCACCACUCAUACAACUUGUGUAUCUUAGCCUAGGGUGAUUGUUUGUUAAAUAAUACUCGAUUAUUAGGAAGGAGUUAUUGUUGUUCAAAGAAGACUUUGUUAAGUUAUGAGUGACUUGUGAAAGAAUAGUUUAUUAAAAUAAAAGUGGCUUCUGCAAGAAUAUUCAAGGGGUCAGCUAAGAAUGACUACAAGCUCAAACAAUACUCAAGGGGGUUAGCUAGGGCUAUGAGCCUAAAGAAUACUCGUAUUGUACUUUGAAACAUUAGUAUGCUUAGUGGAACUCAAUAUGUUGAUUGAGAAUUGGAUGCAGUAUGUUGCAACAAAUGAACCACUAUAAAUUUAUCUUGUGUGUUUCUUUUGUUCCCUUUGCAUUUUACUUUAUUAUAUGUUGUACUAACUUAUGAAGGAGAGCUAUUGGGAGAAUGUGUUAAAAAACAGUUUAGCCAAGAAAAUUAGUUAAUCUAUAAAGUUGUCUCUACUACACUCCAUCAAACGUUUGAGCUCUUGGCACACAAAAUCAUCAUUUAAAUAAUCAUUAUCAGACAAUAUCUUUGAAAAAGUUUCAAAUUAAUUAAAACAUAAGUCAAUCUUCCCUUAUUGUGUUUUUUCUAUUUCCAUAAUUCACAUCAAUUAGAAUGUGAAUAUCAUGCGAUCAAAUACAUGUACACAAUCAUAUCCACAAACAUUAAAUAAUAAAAACUAACUCAAAUACUUUAAUUAGUUAAAUGUGAGAUUCUCUUCUUAUUAAUUAAGAACUCAUUCCCAUCCAAGGAGAAAGAUAUGAAAUUUGGAUGUAGUAAAAAAAAAAUUUUAGUACCUUUUAUAAGUCGUAGAUUUCUUUAAUUUUAUUUAAAUAUACAUGUAAAUGCUAUAUUUUAGCCUGUCUUUUUUAUUCAAUGUUUAUUAUAUGCAUGUUUCCAGUCUUUAUAUUAUAAAUAUUUAUUUAUUCAAUUAUUUACUUUUAGCUAAGUUAAGAAUACAUUAAAAAAAAUUAUUAAAUAGAAACUAAUUUUAGAAAAAAAAUAAUAAAUUACAAUAUUGAAUAAAUUAGAUACUAUUUAUAGACUAAAAACUUAUUGGUAUCUAAAAUAGCUAAAAUCUCAGUAGUUAAUUAAAUACCAAUUUUAAAACUAGUUUAUAAUUUUUUAUUAAUAAUAGAAAUUAUUUUACAUAUCAAUAAUUUUUUUAAUUUCUAAAAUAAUAUCUAAUUUAGUUAACAUAACGACUAAUUAUAUUUUAUCUGUAGGAUUAAUUUCUAUCUAGUGAUUUUCUUGUACUGAUACACAUAGUUUAUUGAAACCUGAUCCAUAAUGGUGUUUAAUGAAUCAAAAUUAUUAUAAAAAUUACAUAAUUACUAUAAUUACGAAUAUAAUUAUAUUACUAAUUUUAAUGAACAUUUAAUAUUUAUAUUAAUUUUAAUUAUGUAUACAUCUAUAACAAUAUAUAAUUUAUAACUAUUAAUAAAGAUGAUAACUCUUAUAAUCAUUUUGUAACCGCUAUUUUAAUGUAAACUAUUUAUUAUCGAUUUUAUUUUUAUUAAUAUAUUUUAUUUUAUUUCUUUUUAUUUUUUAUUUCCCUAUCUAGCACCAUUUCAAAAAUAAAUAAAUAAAUAAUAAUUUUUUUUAAUAAUUUUAACUUUGAAUGCAUUAAAAAAUAAAUAUUUUAAUGUUUAAAAUAGUUAGAAAUAUAAUUAAUGAAUAAAAAAUGAGUUUUUACAAAAUAAAAAUAAAAAAGUAAUAAAUUUAAAAUGUUUAGUUUUAAUUUUUUUUAAGAAUGAAGAAAAUAAAAAAUUAAACCCUACAACAACAUAAAAGUUGAAUCUAUAAACAUAAAUUAGUAUUUAUUUUUAUUAUUAUUGAUGAUGUAAUCAUGUUAAGUUCAAGUACAAAAUACAGGAUAUAAUUAUAAAAAAAUCAAAGUCAAUUAGUAUUAAUUAAUAGUGGACACACAAAUAAUAUUGAAGUGUCUACCUUAAAUGCAAAAUCCUAAAACAAAACUAAAGCAAAUGUUACACUUAAUGCUUAAAAAUGAUAAGAAAAAAAUGCAAAAAUAAACCAGUCUAGAAAAUAAAAACAACAACAAUAAAAUAAAAACAAAAAAUAGAAAUAAAUAAAGAAUGACAAAAAAAAAUAACUAAAAACAUAAAAGAUAUAAAAUAAAGGCAAAACAAAAUAAGAUAAAGAUAAAAGAUAUAAAAAAAUCCAAAUAAGAUAAAUAUAAGAGAUAUAAGGCGAUACUAAAUAAGUAUAGGUUGAUCAUAAAAAGGAACAUAAAUAAAAGAUGAUCAUUCAUUUAAUAUUUUCUUCAAUGAUACAUUCAAUAGUUUGUGCGAAAUGAAACAUAAUUAAUGACGAGAAGUGCAUAGUAAUGUUGGGACAAGUUCUUUAUGUGUGUCCUAGUGUUUGACGAUAUGAACAUUUUCUAUUCGAUCAUGUUGUUCUCAUAUGUUCAUAUCGGUCAUUAUUCAACUUAGUUUUUUAAUAAUUCUGUCUUGUAUUUUUUACUUGAACUUAACAUGAUUAUAUCAUCAAUAAUAAUAAAAAUAAAUAUUAACUUAUGUUUAUAUAUUCAAUUUUUAUGUUGUUGUAGAGUUUAACUUUUUAUUUUCUUCAUUUAAAAAAAAUUAAACUAAACAUUUAAAUUUAUUACUUUUUUAUUUUUAUUUUGUAAAAACUCAUUUCUUUAUUCAUUAAUUAUAUUUCUAACUAUUUUAAACAUUAAAAAUAUUUUUUUUAAUGCAUUCAAAAUUAAAAUUAUCAUUUUUUUUAAUUUAUUAUUUGUUUAUUUGUUUUUGAAAUGGUGCUAGAUAAGGAAAUAAAAAACAAAAGGGUGUUAGAUAGGAAAAUAAAAACAAAAGGGUGCUAGAUAGGGAAAUAAAAACAAAAGAGUAUUAUAUAGAGAAAUAAAAGUGUAAAUGGUGUUAGAUAGGGAAUUUACCCGAAAAUACUACCUAUUAUAAAAGUUAUUUAUUUAUUUAUUUUAUAAUACAUUUUAUGAACAUAUUUUUUUUAUAAAUUUAAUUAUAUUUUUAUAAGAAUUAUUUAUUUAUUUAUCAAAAGAAAAAAGUGGAUACACACUAGUAAAAUAUAAAAAAGGAUAUGAUACACAAUUUUACCCUUUUAAUAAUUAUUUUUUAAUUCAAAUAACUAUCUGCAAAAUAGUCAUCUACAUAAUAAAAAAUUACUUACAAUUUUUUUAAAAUAACUAUUUAAUUUUAAAAUUACUUAUAAUUAAAAUAUUUCUAAAUUUUAAUAAUAUAUUUUUAUUUAAAUAUUUAUUAUAAUCUAUAACAAUAUAUAAAUAUAUAAAGAAGAUACACCUCUCUUUUGUACACAAAUUUUUUGCAAUUUUAUCCUUUAAAUAACUAUUUUCUUAAAUUUAAAUAAUUAUUUAUGAUAAAAGAAUCAUCUACACAAUAAAAAAAAAUUACCUAUGAUAAAAUAAAAAACAUUUAUUUUUAUAACUACUUUUAAUAGAGUUCUUUUUUAUAAUUUAAUAAUAUAUUUUUAUUUCAAUAACUAUUAUAAUCUAUAAUCUAUAACAUUAGGGGAUUCUCCUUUUUUUAUAUAAUUUUUUUAAUCUUUUAACUAAUCGUUCUUUUAAAUUGAAAUAAAUACAUAUAAUAAAUAAAAAUAUAUUUAUAAUUUAAUAAUGUAUUUUUAUUUUAAUAAUUAUUAUAAUCUAUAACAUUAACAAAAUGAUUCUCUUUUUUAAUUUAUAUAAAUUUUAAUAUUUUAAUAAUUUAAUUAAUUAUUUUAUUUUAUGAAAAACAAAAUACAAAUAAUAUUUUAAAAAGAAAAAUCAGCAAAGUUGAAUUUGUUCCACACACAAAUAAUAAAGUGUGCAUGAAUUAGAUCACUUUGAUUAUAUUGUAUGGGUCAACGUGAUACAAAUUUAAACGUAAUCCAAAACUUAACAAAAACGUAUGAGUCAGUACAAACUGAUUUCAAAUAAAAUCAUAAAUUUGUGUCACGUUUUCACUUUGAACUCUUUGUGCAAAAGCACGUUCAUGACUUUAUUGUAUGAAGUUGUAUAAACGAGACACAACUUCUCCAAAUCAAUAAUAAAAUUCUUUUUACCCAAAUUCAUAAUAAAUUAUACAAAUUAUGCUAUUGAGCUAAAAAAAUCAAACUUCAACACAUUUUUCAAAGUGUUUUUUCUAUCCACAAGUUCAAAAAACAAACAUUGACAAACAAUGACCACUAUUUUUUUUCAGUAAAAUAAAUUUUAUAAAUUAAAAUUAGAGUAUCUGGGGGUACUCUAAGAACAAAAUAGACUCACCCAACAGAAAUAAAAAAUAUUCCCACUUCACCUUAAUGUUUCCCACUUUCCCCUAAAUGUUCAAGAACAAUGACCAAUAUGUGAUCAUAAUGUGCUUGCAUCCUCUUCUUUCAAUAAGUCACAACCCAAUUAUUAGAGCCACGCAAUUUACUAUGUCACUCUUAAAAAGAAAACUAGCAAGCAAUUCAUGUGAAUCUUAGUAAAUCCACUGCAAUUUUUCUUCUUCCAACCCAAAAUAAAAGAUAAAGAAAGGAAGAAAACAAAACAACAAUCAUAUACAUAUAUAUAACCAUAGUUAUUAUAAAUAAAUAGUUUAUGAUUAGUUUGAAAAUUUAAGAUCCCUUGCUAGUCUAAUUUCCAAUAUAAAAUAAUAGAAAAUAUAUAUUAACUAGUUCAUUGAGAUACCGAAAAUAUGUUUGAUCAUUUGGAAAGGGACAGAGAUGGUGAAGCAUUGCUUGAAGCAGGAGGUGAUGGAGGAGAACCAUGUCUGUGAGAAAGGUCACCUGCCACAGCUUGAACGUUAACCCUAGUAGAAGCUGAUGGAGGAUGACCCAUGUAUUGACGUGGGUCCAUUGCCCUAUGUUGCAUGGCCCAUGAAACUUGCCCUGUUGGAUCAAAAAGUGAAGACAGGUCAUAAGUGGCGGUUGCCGCUGCCGCUGCGGUGGUCGAUGGUAGAUCGCUCACUGAGAAUCGCGGUGUCGCCACCGAUUGCGUUAGAGGAGGUGGCGGCGGAUGAGGUACCUCCAUUUGGGCAAAGUGGCCUUGUAGGUAUGAGAGUUCUGCUUGUAAGUUCACCACCUUUGUUUAGAACAAUGAAGCCAAAAAAUGUUAGAACAUUGUAACUCAUUAAAUAAAUUUUCAUUCAUCAUAAUGUUUUAUACGUUGAUGAAAGAAAUUUUGUAUGAUACAGGAUUUUAUUUUCGAACAAACAAAAUAUUUAUAUAAAUAUAUGAUGAUGCACUUUUUUUCUUGGAGUAAAUUUCUGCAGCAUUAAAAGGGUUGAUAGAGGUUAAAUUUUUUAGAAAAAAAUAUGUAGGAUAAAUGAGAUGAUGUGAAAAGAAGAAAAUAAAAUUAAAAUAAAUGACAGAAGUUAAUUAUAUCAUCAAUCUUUUUCUUCCUUCAGACACACAUUGUAUUUUUCUUUUAUUGUGUUAGACAUGUAUCGUUUUCUCUAAAUAUAAUAUGCUAAGAUUUUCCGUUUUCAAGUAAAAAUAAUAAUAAUUUCCAUUUCAUGCAACUUUUUCUUCAAAUAGAAAAUUAGAGAAAGAUAAAAUUAUUUAUAAAUGAAAUAGGUAAUUCUUUCUCUCUCUCUCUCUCAAUAAUAAUAAUAAUAAUAAUAAUGCCUUCAUAAUUAAUUAGUAAUUAUGAAUAAAAAAAAGGUGAGGAUCCCGAGAAAGUUUAAGACUAAUUAAGGAGAACAUAAUACAAGUAUGAACACGGUAACUUUAAACAAACUUCUAGAAAAUAUACAAGCAAGAGUUUUGUACAAACAAAGAUACUUCCAAAAGAUACACAACUAAGCAUCAUUAAACUUGAAGGAAAAAAACAAUAUAUGUGAUUCUUUUAAAACAGGUUCUAUCAAUAACAAUGUUAAUGAAAUAAUUUCAAAUACUAACAAAUUUUUAAUACACUUUAAUUCAAUAAUUAUUUGCUGAUAAAAAACAAAUUUUCAAUAAUGACUAGUAUACAUCAGCACAUACAUAUGAGCUAAUUCUUUUAGAACAGUCAAAAACCUUGAUUUCUAUAUAUAUAUAUAUAUAUAUACACACACGAGCCAAAAAAAUGCAUUUCCAUUUGAGAAAUGCUAAACAUAUUUUCUUAAAAAAAUUACUAAAACUCAACAUAAAUUAUUUAUAACUUAUUUAUUUUCCAAUUGUCUUACGGCAAAGGUGAGAUGAAAAGAAAAUAUAGUUCCUAGGUGGAUUACUGCAAAAGGAACAAAAACUUCCUUCUACGAAACCAUAUUUUACGCUACUAUAGAAAAUCUUAAAUAAUCAAAGAAUUAACAAAUUAAUAUGUGUGAUUUUAAAACUUAAAAGGAAAUAUUAAAAAAUACUAACAUCUUAAAGAAAAUGAGAGUGUAGAAGGUACUAUGUGAGACUCAGAUAUGGUUCUAGGGUAGUCCAUUUUUUUAAUUUUAGGAAACUUAUAAUGCACUACUAAAUAUAAAUAAUUAGUUAGUGUCUUAAUUAAGAAAAUAUUUUCUUAAAAAUUGUAGUAUUAUACAUUUUAGAGACCCAGCAAUAGUUAAUUAACACAGGCUAUGUAUUUAGAAAAAUUGAGAUAGUCAUGUGUUAAGAUUUCCAUAAUCUAUUUUACUGUAAAGAUGAAUUUUGUUAUAGAAAUGAAUAUAUUAGAUUGAUAAGGAUGUGAGUGUGAAGAAAUUGAUUUUGUGAAGGUGAUGAAUUUAUGAAAAGAUAGAGACAAAAGGGUUUAUUUUAAUUUUGUGUAUGAAAUUGGUUUGAAGGUCUGAACUAACCGACCAUCUCCCCAAAACCUGCAAGAAGCAAGGAAGUAAUGGCCCAUGCCAUAGACUAACCAUUUGUGUAACAGCCGACCACAUCAUUUGUUAAUCAAAUAAGAGUUAAGGAUUUAAUUGAAAUGCUAGAAACUGUCUCCCUUAUUUCCAUGGCUUCCAAACCCUACCCUUUUUUUCCUCUUUCCUCAAACCUCACUUUUCUUCCUCAGGGCACAAAACCACAAGCUACUGCUACAAUGCAUGCUAUCUUUGUUGUCCUUUACUUCAAGGAUUGAAGGCACAAUUUGCUUGUACAAAAAGAAACUCAAAAUAUUACAGAUAGGUUCCUUUGCAUAGCAGUUUCAGUAGAAACUGUAGCAGAAGUGAUUUAAUAUUAAAAAGACAAAAACAGAAACUCGUUUCUUUCUUCAUUCUUUUGGGGUUACAAAAUGAGAUUGAAAAACCAUGGAACUCUUAUUAUGUGAACAUCAUAAAAUAAGCCUUUUCUUAGGUUUCACUUUAUUGGCUAGCAAACAAUCAAAAUAAACUGGGACGUUACAUGACUCAUAUAUAUAUAUGUAAUGUUUAACUUACGGUUUCUAGCAAUUUUAUAUAAAAACAAAUAGCCUGAAACAAACUCAGAACCCUUAAUCUGAUAAUUUUCUAAUCUCUAACUAUGAUUCUCAUUCUACAGUCAACAGAAAACGUCUUGAAAGCAUAAAAGUUUCAGUGAUUCACUACAUUGGCUUAGUGUAGGUGGAGAAGAAAUUGAAAACUGACAAUUAUAUAACCAAUUAAUUAGCAUAAUGCAGAUACCAAGAACACACAUUAUCAUACCAUGGUCAAUUCAUAAUUCUAUCAAGAGUUAUGAUUAAAUCAAAAUCAAUAGCUAUAUACCUGUUGCUGAAGGGCAAAGAUGUGCGAAACACAGCCAUAAACAGGAUCUCUGAGGCGUGAUUGUGCUUCAUAACAAAUGGUGAUGACUGCAUCAAGCCUUUUGUGCACAGGAAUGCUAAGGAGAAGCUUGGACACAUUGCUAGCCCCAAAAACCUUGUGCACAGCAGCAAAAUGGUUUGUUCCUUGCUCCGCAUCGAAAUACGGAGCAAAGAUACAACCAGGAAUACAUUUUCUUCUGAGAAACUUGCAAGCUCCACAAGGGCUACCAGUGGUGCUGCUACCAGCACCACUACCACUCAUCUUUCACUAGAAUGAUGAAUUAUGAGUGUUGUUAUUGGGAUGAGAUAAAAGGUGAUAAGGGUGUGAAAUGAUUAGGUUAUGGAGGUAGGAUUUUGUGAGAGUGAUGAAGUUUGUUUGGUGGAGAGAGGAAGGGAAGAAGAAGGGUGGAGUGUUGUGGGGAAGAAUUUAGCUAGGAUACGUUUGGUGGGGCUAAUGAGAUUUAAUGAGGGGAUUUAAUAGGAAAGAAGAAGUCUUAAAAGGCACGCGAGGGAGCAAAGGCUUAACCUCCACAUUUAGCUGUUUGCGUGAAGAAAAACAUGAGGUAUAAGGUAGCUAGCUAUGGCUUACUUUCUCACAAUUAUACCCUCAAAACUGCUUCACCUUUUUUCCCUAUUUUGCCUUCGUUCCUCUCGUGAAUGUGAAUCCAUUCAACUCACAAACAUCAUCUCUCUCCAAAACACACACUUUUGACACUUCCUCUGGUUGCUAUCAUGUGAGUACAAAGGUAUGUGUUGGGAGAGGAAGCUUUGAAUUUGGACCAAGAGAUGAUGUAAUCAUAAAAGAGGUUUUUGUAACCGAGCCAAGCUAAAGACAACAAAUUUUUUUGUUACUCUUACGCGUUUAUAAUAUGAUAUACAUGAGAGAGAGUGUUUAUAUGCAUUAUUUGAGCUAUUUUGCUUUAAGUUUGAUAAAAAAAAAACGCGUUUUCAUGGUUGUAAUCUCACAUCAAUUAAAAAUAAGAAUAUCAUAACGCGUUAGGACGCGUUUUCAUGGUUGUAAUCUCACAUUUUCAUGGUUGUAAUCUCACAUCAAUUAAAAAUAAGAAUAUCAUAACGCGUUAGGACGCGUUUUCAUGGUUGUAAUCUCACAUUUUCAUGGUUGUAAUCUCACAUCAAUUAAAAAUAAGAAUAUCAUAACGCGUUAGGACGCGUUUUUAUGGUUGUAAUCUCAUAUCAAUUAAAAAUAAGAACAUCAUAAUUAAGUAGACACAAACAUUAUCUUAUAAGUUAAAAUUAUAUAAAAUUAAAUUGAAUUUAAAAUUCACUUCUUAAUAUUUAUGAGUUUUCUAAUGUUUAAUCAUAACAUAUAACAUAUAUUGAAAGAAGUUGUGCUAAAAUAUUUGGUGUGUAGCUAAGAAAAUUGUACUAAGUAUAUAUUUAUUAAGUGUGGGAAGAACUUCAUUAUGGUUAUUUUGGUUAUUAGUUUUUAUUGGGUAAAUUAAGCGACUCUUUGUUGUAAUUGACUCAGCCACUUGCAUUUGUCUUCUUUACAAACAAAAUGCCAAAUGCUAUUAGACUUGGGAGUUAUGGUAGUAAAUUGGUAUGAAUGCAUGUGUUUUGGUUCUCUUAAUUAGGUUAUUAAUUCAUAUUUGUUGGGUUGUGUGAGAGAGAGGCUAUAAUAUUGAAUAUGCAACUUAAGAAUAGUGGAUUUUAUCUCCAACACAUUCUCCAAUGUUGAAACUUUUCAACUCGUGUGUGAAACUAUAUAUUUAUGAAUAGUCUGACAGCGGUAUGAUAACAUGGUCUGAUAAGGUUAACAAACUCAUAGACUCUCUCAACUAUCAUAUCAUUCACCAACUUCAAUUAACUUUCCUCACAAAUCCACUCUAACAUACUCCAAUCCAAACACACUAACUUUCUUCACAUUUUUCUCUCAAAUCUUCACACUUUCACUCCUCAAUCCAAACACAACAUUAGAGGUUUAAAAUGUAAUAUUACAAAUUUGCCCUAGUCUUUAAAAAAAUAGAACAAUCAAAUAAUAUGUAUUUUUGCAUAAAUUUUGAUGAAUUAAAAUUAUUAGUAAUAUAAUCCGAUAUAGUUCAAUAAUUAAUUUCUGAACAAAAAAUACAACUUACUUGACAAAAAAAUAAUUUACAUGUAAAAAUUUGAAUAUAUGUAAAAGUUGUCAAUUGUAAUAUAGAAAUAAAUAAUUUAAAUAUUCAUAAAUUUAAAAAUUGUAAUUAGAAAAUAAUUUUGUAUUAUAUGUAAAUGGUAUUAUUAUAUUUAUGAUAAUAAUUAUUCUAUAAUUUUUUUAUUAUAAAUAAGUAUAAAAAAAUUAUUAAAUUUUUUUAUUAUUAUUAAUUAUUAUUAUUUCAUUUUAUUAAAAUAUUAGUGUUAGUUAAAUUUAUUUAAUAAGGGUAAAUUUAAAAAUAACUUCAAGUUGACUUGACUUUCCCUUUGUUUCUCUUCAUUUUAAGAGGAAAGAAUUUGCGACCCAAAAAAAGGAAGAGGAUAUUUAUUGUUCACACUUAUAUCAUCUCUUUCUCUUUCUCACAAAACCCACCUUGGAUCCAAAUUAUUGAUAUUCUCUCAUAUCUUUACUUGUGAACCGUACAUACAUAGAAGCAAACAUGUCCUAAAUGACUUUGAUAGCAUCUUAAGAAGUGAAGACCUUAACUCAACCUUAUAAGACUGAUUUAUAACCUAAUGUUUACAAUAAUAAAUUAAUAAAACUUAGGUGUAUUUGUUUUUUUUUUUUUCAGCAAUGAAUUAAUAGAAUUAAUAGGAACACUUUAGGGGUGUUCCAACCCUUAUACAUAAAGACUCCUAAUAAAGCAUUCAACAAUUAGAGCAAAGUUAAGCGACAAACCACUUAACUCAAAACCUUAAAACUAGUUAAAGAUACUCAGUCCCAAAACCUGAAUCUGCAUAAACCAGCACAAAACAAAACAAAAGCCUGGUGGCGAGGGAAAAACUGCUAGAGAAAAACAUGCUAACAGCUAGGUGUGACCAGCACAACUUAACCAUGAAGAGCAAAGACUAAAAAUCCCCGGGCCUUGCUGCAUUUGCUAACACAGAUCCAGGGAUUGCCUCUUGACAGCAGAGUGCUUCAUCUAUAACUCUGUGUGAAACCAACCAUCAACCAUAACCUCUUUGGUCAGAUCUUCACGCUUGUGGUAACCAGAGAACAAGGUAUUUCCUCUCAGACAAAUUUCUCCACGGGCUGCAUUGGAGAGAGCAUCAUAUUCCAUCUCUGGCACAGAUUUAAACCUGGCUUCAAUGGUUGUCAUGGGAAUACCAACUGUUCCUGUCAUGGAAUACACAUCACCUAUGGCAUACUCCUCAGCUUCCUUCUUUUGUGUGGUCGAAACACUUCCCAAGCACACAAUAGUUUUAAGAUUUGAAGAACACGGCUUUAGUUUCCAAGAUUCAUAACUCCCAGGGUAGCUCCUGCACCAAGAAAACACCUUCCACUCCGCUUCAUGAGAGAAGAAUCUGCAUAUAUUUAUAAGAUAUCCUCCCUAUUUUCCUGCAGUAAUGAGAGAGCAAACACCUUCCCCACCUCAUCGUAACUUAGAAUAUAAAACCAGUCCAGCCCGUGGGUCUUAAGCAAUUUUAAAUUUUUUAAAAAAAGUUGCAGCAGCCAACCAACAUGCAUAAUAUUAAAACCAGUAUAAAUCUUUAUCUAAUAGUCAUAUUGAUGCAUGUUAAAGGAGAUAAAAUCCAAUCGGAAAAUGAAAAAGUGACUUUCCUUUCUUUUUGUUUCAUCCAAACCCAUGAUUGUACUUGUGCUAAAGUAAAAAUUUCCUCCACAUCUAACUUAGCUUGAUUGAAGAUAAACCUAUUUCUAUGCUUCCAUAUACACCAAGCAACUGAUACCCAAAGACCUUUCCAUAACCUAUNNNNNNNNNNNNNNNNNNNNNNNNNNNNNNNNNNNNNNNNNNNNNNNNNNNNNNNNNNNNNNNNNNNNNNNNNNNNNNNNNNNNNNNNNNNNNNNNNNNNNNNNNNNNNNNNNNNNNNNNNNNNNNNNNNNNNNNNNNNNNNNNNNNNNNNNNNNNNNNNNNNNNNNNNNNNNNNNNNNNNNNNNNNNNNNNNNNNNNNNNNNNNNNNNNNNNNNNNNNNNNNNNNNNNNNNNNNNNNNNNNNNNNNNNNNNNNNNNNNNNNNNNNNNNNNNNNNNNNNNNNNNNNNNNNNNNNNNNNNNNNNNNNNNNNNNNNNNNNNNNNNNNNNNNNNNNNNNNNNNNNNNNNNNNNNNNNNNNNNNNNNNNNNNNNNNNNNNNNNNNNNNNNNNNNNNNNNNNNNNNNNNNNNNNNNNNNNNNNNNNNNNNNNNNNNNNNNNNNNNNNNNNNNNNNNNNNNNNNNNNNNNNNNNNNNNNNNNNNNNNNNNNNNNNNNNNNNNNNNNNNNNNNNNNNNNNNNNNNNNNNNNNNNNNNNNNNNNNNNNNNNNNUUGUCUUUGAGCUCCGAGUUAUUAUAUAGUCUCUCAUAUCUUGAUUUGAGUUGGUCAUUGGUUAACCACUCGUCCUCCCAAAAUUUGAUCUUCUCCCCAGAACCCACUUUCCAACCCAAAUUCUGAUUGAACCAAUUGACCCCUUGGUCAGAAAGACUAGCCUUGGCUAGAUCACUCCACCAUCUAGAUGUAUACCCCUUUCGAUUUGGUGCAUGUGAUAUUGACGUUCCCCACUGGCCAUACUUUGAUUCUAGAACAUCCUUCCAGAGUCCAGACUCUUGAGAUCCCAAUCUCCAUAGCCAUUUUGCCAGGAGUGCCUUAUUGAACAACUCAAUGUUUCUAAUGCCUAGACCUCCCUCCUCUUUUGCCUUGCAAACGUUUUCCCAACUUAUCCAAGCAAUUUUCCUUCCUUCCGCUCCCCAACCCCACAAGAAAGUUCUUUGUAGUUUGGUUAUCUCCUUGCACACUCCAAUCGGUGCUUUGAAAAAGGAUAGGAAGAAGAGUGGUAUGGCACUGAUGACAGAUUUUAUAAGACAUACUCUACCUGCAAAAGACAGGUUCUUCCCCUUCCACACUGAUAGUUUCUUUCUAUUUGUAAUUCUGAUUUUUAUAUUUUAUAAAAUUCGUAAUUUGGUUAUUAUUAUUGUUUUACAAUUUAAAUUCUUUAACAAUCAAAUUAUUCAUAUAUUUGCUUAUUUUUUAAGUUAAUUAUCGGUAAUGAUUUUUUUUUGUUAGUUUGAACAUAAUUAUGAAAUCGAGUAGAAAUAUAUUACAUUCGUAACUUUUUUACGUAAUUGAAAAAGGAGACUUUGGGUGUAAGGUUUUAUUUUUUUUAAAUGUAAUUUGGUACUGAUUUAAUAAAUUUUUAAAACUAAAAAUUAAAAUUAAAUAAAUUUAUGAAUAAUUAAAAAAAAUCAAACGAUCAAAAUUGUAUAAAGAAAAUUCAAACACUAAAAUUACGGAUAAAUUUAAAUUAAAAAAUACAUGACAAAAAAAUUAUGAAUUGAAAUUGCAAAUUUUAAAUAUAAACAAUAAAAUUAUAUGUUGUUUUCAUAUAAACGAAUAAACCUGAAUUCUCUUCCAUUAUAAAAUUAAUGUAAUUUGUGAAUUUAAUAUUCUUCAUUUAUGUAAAUAUUGUGUAUUUUGAAUUCUUAUUUUUUUUUUAUAAAAAAAAGUGUAGUUUGAUCUUUGCAAAUUUUAUAUCUAUAUAAUUAUUAUUUUUACCAUUUAAGUCUCGUUUUCUUUCCCUAUUUUAUAGUAAUUAUAAUUGUUCUUAUUGGAAUGUGAAUCAGGUGGAUCCGAAAAAAUUUAAGAAAGUCAAGUUACUUGUUGAGUCGAAUUCUUUCUCGUUAUCCAGCUUGUUAAUAAUAAUUCACUAGUAAAUUUUAAAAAAUUUAUAUGAGAUUCAAGUUAGUAAGAUUAAAACAAUUUUAAAUAUAUUAGCAUGAGUAACAAAAGAGAGGAUUAAUUUUUUUGUUUGAAUUAGGAAGAAUUUGAGAUAGAGAAUUUGAGAGGAAAAUGAGAUUGUUUGAAUAAAGAUAAAUAAGGUGGGAUGAAAGAAAAUUUAUCAAAAUUUAUGAAUGGUGUGAUAGGUGUGAUUGAAAUUUUAUUUUUUAUUAUUAUAAUUCUUUUAAUUAUUUUAUUAUUAUUAUUUUAUAAUUUUAUUAUUAGUAUUUUUUAUAAAUUUUGUAUUAAUAUUUUUUAUAUUAUUAACAUUUUAUUAUAUUUUAAUAAUAAUUAUUAUUUAUAUUUAUUUUAUUAUAAUAUAAACAUAAAUAUUAAUGAAUUAAUAAUAUAAAAUAUAAUAUAUUUAAUAUAAUAAUUAAUAUAUAUAUAUAAUAAAACAUAUAAUAUACUUAAAAACUAACUUUACUCAAAUCUUAGUUGUAUGGCGGAAAAAGAACAUGCAGAUGUGUUUAUCUCAUUUACUACUUUUUAUUAUUUUUUUUAUUUGUGUGCUUUCUUUGCUCUUUCUCACUCCAUAAGUUGUUUUAAUUUUUUUACUAUUAUUACUUUAUAAUUUUAUUAUUGAUAUUUUUUAUAAAUUUAUUAUUAAUAUUUUUUAUACUAUUAACAUUUUAUUACAUUUUAAUAAUAACUAUUAUUUAUAUUAUAUAAUUAUUUAUAUUUAUUUUAUUAUAACAUAAAUAUAAAUAUUAAUGAAUUGAUAAUAUAAAUAUAUAAUAUAUUUAAUAUAAUUAUUAAGAUAUAUAUAUAUAUAUAUAUAUAAUAACAUAUAUAUAAUAUAUAAUGUUCUAAAAAGUAACUUUUCUCAUGAAUCUUCGUUGUGGUGUGAACGUAAAUUUGUCGGAUUCGUUUACUAUUUUUUAUUAUUUAUUUAUUUAUUUUCGUACUUUCUUUUUCGAUCUCACUCUCAUAAAUUAUUUUAGUUCUUUUAUUCUUAUUAGUUUAUAACUUUAUUAUUAAUAUUUUUAUAAAUUUAUUGUUAAUAUUUUUUAUAUUAUUAAAAUUUUAUUAUAUUUAAUAAUUAUUAUUAUUUAUAUUUAUUUCAUUAUAAUAUAAAAAUAAAUAUUAAUGUAUUAAUAAUAUAAAAAUAUAAUAUAUUUAAUAUAAUAAUUAAGUCAUACAUAUAGUAAAACAUAUAAUAUAUUAAAAAGUAAAUUUUCUCACAAAUCUUCAUUGUGUUGCAAAAGAGAGCAUGCAAAUUUGUUUGUCUUGUUUACUACUUUUUAUUAUUAUUUUUAUUUAUUAAUUUUCAUGCUUUCUUUGAUCUUUCUCACUCCAAUAAAUUAUUUUAAUUCUUAUAUUAUUAUUACUUUAUAAUUUUAUUAUUAAUAUUUUUUAUAAAUUUAUUAUUAAUAUUUUUUAUAUUAUUAACAUUAUUUUAAUUAUUAUUAUUAUUAUUAUUUAUAUUACAUAAUUAUGUAUAUUUAUUUUAUUAUAAUAUAAUAUAAUAUAAAUAUAAAUAUUAAUGAAUUAAUAAUAUAAAAAUAUAAUAUAUUUAAUAUAAUAAUUAAGACAUAUAUAUAAUAAAACAUAUAAUAUAUUAAAAAGUAACUUUCGUCACAAAUCUUGGUUGUGUUGCGAAAAAGAACAUGCAGAUAUGUUUAUCUCAUUUACUACUUUUCAUUUAUUUAUUUUUUCUUUGUUAUUCGUUUUGUCUCCACAUGGAAUGUUAAACUCCUUUGAGUUGAUUGUCUUAUAAUUUCACAACGAAUUCAAAAGUUUUGUUUUUCAAUAUCUUAUUGUGCUAAAUGUAUGGUAUUUUUCUAAGUUUAACUGUCAUUCUGAAAAUUGUUUUGAAAAUGAGGUUGAUAAUUCAAUUAUGUCUUUGAAUAAACUCUUGUUUAGUUUUCUAAACAAUCUACAUGUGAUUCAAGAGGUAAAAGGUAAAAAAAAAAAACCUUAUGAGUAGACACAUGAAGACGAGUAAGGUAUUAAAUAAAUUAAUGGAUGCAUAUUUCAUUAAUGAGAUUCAAUUGUCUUUCGUUGACACAUAUUUGGUUAAUUAAAUUCUAUUUAAAUGAUUGAAUGAAUGAUACACUUACUGAUUGAUGAAGAAUUCAUUAUUAGAAAAACUUGAGAGUUAACAUGCUUUUUUUAUUGUUUAUGAUCAUCUACUUUAUUUUUAUGUACAGCCGUUUAAAACCCCCCCUUUUUUUACAUUAGUAUUUAUAUAUAGGUUUUGAACAUUGUUUGACUAAUUUUACUAUUGGAAUCGUUGGGAGACAACUUUAAGUCAUAUAACAUCACUAGAAAUCAUUAAAUACAAACAAGUUUUAGAGACAAAAAAUGAUUAGUUCUUAUAUUGAUUAAAUUAGAUGUUAUUGUUUGGUAGCUAAAACCUUGGUAGCUAAUUAAAUAUCAAUUUAAAAAUUAUUUAUCAAUAAUAGAAACUAAUUUAAAUACCAAUAAUUUUUUUAGUCUCUAAAAUAUUAUCUAAUUUAGUCAAUAUUGCAACUAAUUGUUUUUUGUCUCUAAACCUACUCUUUAUUUAAUGAUUUUCUUAUAGUGUAAUCUUAUUUAUAUUAUCUUUUAUUUUGUGGUAGACGGUCUAACAUUGCAUUAGAUGAUCUCCACUAAAAUCAUUUUUAAUUUGACUGCAUAAAUGUAGUAUAUCUCAAUAUUUCAGAGUCAAGUAAUACACAAGUCCCAUAAGUUCAAAAUCCACGAAUAAAGUGCAAAUGGACCGAUUGAAUGAAUGAAUGAGCUUUAGUGCUUAUCAUAACUGAUCUAAAUUCAUUGUAUCUCAUUUGACAAGUGUCACUCAGGAUUGAUUCCUGUAUGUAUUUAUGAAGGGUUUUCAAUAGUAAUGAGCAUUUGUAAAAGAUUUUUACUCAUAAUGAUAAGUUGUUUUGUUUUAUAAUAUGUUACAUCACUUAGGUAAUUAACGUUUUAUCCUUUCAUGUCAAUACCUUAAGACACUAAGUUUGGGUGUCCUUUUGUUCCGCGCGGAAUGUAAAUGUUCGAAAUUCUUAAUUUGCUUUAUAUUCGACUCUAUAUAUCCUUUCUUCAUAAUUUCACUUUAUUCUUCAUUUCUAACAAUUGUGAGAUAAAUUUACUCCAUUCGUCAUCGUUUGUGUCAUCAUUUAAAAGGACAUUUCUAAUUACUUUAUCUUCUUUCAAUAAAAAUAGUUAUUUAUUUAGUAGAGAUUGUAGUUAUAAAAAAUAGUCAUCAUUUCUCUAAAUAUUGUGUAUUUUGUAUUUAUUUUAAAUGUAGUUUGAUCUUUGCAAAUUAUAUAACUAUAUAAUUAGUUUCUUUAAUAUGAUAUUUUUAAUAAAAUAGUUGCUCCACAAAUAAAAUAAAAUGAAAACUAAUUAAGAGAUGGAUAACUCCACAAAUAAAAUAACAUGAAAACUAAUUAAGAGAUGGAUAACACCGGAAGAAAUACAAUAACUAAAUUAUAAUAUUUUAAAAUAAAUGUUUAAUAAUAUAUGUAUAUAUAUAAUAAAAUAUUUUGAAUUUAAUGAAGUGACGUAAUCAAUGAUAAUUAUUAUUUUAUUUUAUGACUGAAAAAAUGAUCACACGUCACCCGUAAUAAUUAUUUUUGUACAUGUUUUUUAGAAUACAAAAAUUUAAUUAUAAUUAAAAAAUUAUUAAAUAAAAAUCAAUUUUGGAGAUAAAAAAUAAUUAGUUACUAUGUUGACUAAAUUUGUGUGAAGGAAAUGUGUGUGCUGAAAAGUUUGUUAAUUUAUGAUUUAUUCAUAGAUAAUCAUUUCAUUGGUAUAAUAGGUUUCUAUCUAGUCUCUCAUUAGAAUUCUUUAUGAAUAAGUAUAGUCUACCUAUGUAUCGUUUUGUUAACAUAUGAGUUUUGGUCUAGUUCUUUCAUAUUUUUUUAUUUUUUUUAAUAAUAGUUUUUUCAUGUAAUGACAAAUGAUUGUUGUUACUUGAAGUGUCAUCCUAGCUAGUGAUGUCUAACAUGAAAAUUUUUAUAAAAAAAAAUUAUAUAUUAUUUUAGAGAUUAAAAAGUUAUUGAUACUUAAAGUAGUUUUUAUUAUUAAUAAAAAAUUUAAAUUAAUUUUUAAAUUGACAUAUAAUUAGUUAUUAAUAGGAGAUGGAAGAAUAUUUUUCAUAGUGUUUUUUUAUCGAAUUAGAAAUAUUAAUAAAGUUCAACAAAAAUUAUACCAGGUAAGGAACUCAGAUAAGGUGACCCUCUGACACAUUUCCUCUUUCUUAUUGUGGUUGAAGGGUUAGCACUGGUAGUUAGACAGACAGUCUCAAAUGAUCUACUGCAAAGUGUGGAGGUUGGAGGCAACAUUGUUAAGGUUAAUAUGUUACAUAACGCGAACAAUACCCUCUUCUUUAAUAAAGAAAGUACUCAUAAUGCAUUUGUCCAUGAAAGAAAUUCUCUAAUGUCUUGAGUUAGCAUCAGGCUUAAGGGCUUUUUCAAAAAGUAGGUUAGGAGGGGUGGAUGUAAAUCAUGCCCAGAUGAUGAAUUAUGCUUCGAUGCUAAAUUCUGAAGUGAUGAAAACCCCCUUUUCAUACCUAGGAAUGGUGGUUGGUGGAGAACAUAGGAGGAUUAGUUUAUGGGAUGGAGUCAUAGAUAAGAUCAGAAAAAGGCUUGACAGAUGGCGAGGAAAAUUCCUUUCUUUGGUAGGAAGAAUUUUGUAUGCUUAGAUCAAUUCUAACCUCCCUCCUCUUGUUCUACCUAUCUUUCUUCAAGAUGUCAGUGGCGGUGGCAAAUGUCAUUAUAAGAAUUCAAAGGAAAUUUCUAUAGGGAUGGAGGAAGGAAGGAAGGAAAACAGUUUGGGUUGCUUGAGAAAAAGUGUGCAAUUCUAACGAGGAAUGUGGUUUAGGGAUUAAAGGCAUCAAGACAUUUAACUAUGCCUUGCUAUGAAAAUGGGUUUGGCUACUAUACAUAGUGAAGGGAGGCUUAUGGAGAGAAAAUAUAGAUUCCAAGUAUGGAGGAUGGAGAGAUAUUAGGAGUAAUAGGAGGAGCAUUAAAGAAUCUAUCUGGUGGAGGGAUUUAAAGAAUGUGUGGGCAAUGAAAGAGUGGGGGAUCUUUUAACUCCCAAGUUGGGAUCUUCUUCCACUUCAUCACGACACCACUCAUGACAUUCACGUCCAGAAUAGUUGUUGCCUCCAUCCAAUCAUCAGACAUUGAAGCUGCAAGCCAGAAAACCUUUCCAACCUUAUACUAAGGCAGGUUCAUGAGAUGCAAAGGUAUAUAGAAAGAUCUAACUCAAAUGCAAUCAAUAUACACGUACAUGUAAGAUUGACAGAUUAUAUUCACUAAGAAAUAGCAAAUUAUGUUCUCAACCUACCAAAUCAUGACAUAUAUUAUGUUCCUUUAACUCUCUAUGAUCUCAUACAUCUACCAAAAGGCUCUCCCCCCAUCCCAGUCCACACUCUUUAACAAACCUUUUAUCUAACCUUAUUCAGUAGUAAAACCAAAACCAAGAAAAUCAGUGUAAAUAGUAAUAACAAAUGCACUUCUCAAUGGGGAAAACACCUACCUUCCAAUCAAGCAACUCAUCAUAAAUCCCUUUAAUUCUCAAUCUUUUAAAUCUUAACCAUCUACCGAAAGAUCUCCCCCCAUUCCAGCCUAUUCCCUUGAACUUACUUAUAAUAUUUCCUUUCCAUGAAUCUAAAUUGAGGUACCACUCACCUAAACAAUACUAAACGCUUUAAAAUCCAGUCGCAUACCCAACUACAUUUUCUACAUUUACUUCUUCCUAAAAAACUUUAAACAUUCCUUAGGUUCCACACAUCAUUGUAAGUAUGUAAAGUCAAUUUUUUUUUUUUAAUUUUAAUCCAAGCACGCACCUUUAGUUGUGCUAAAGUAAAGAUCUCAUCAUUGUCCAUUCUACCAUUUUUAAACACGAACUUAUUACUCUAUUUCCAAAUUUCUCCAAUCACUGUUAUUCACAUAUUACCCCAGACCUUAUUCGUUGUUUUCGAAACCCAUCCUAUAAAAAAGUGUAGAAAGUGGUUUCUACCUUCCACAUGAAAGACUGAGAGUUCCCCUAACCACCAACUACUCCAACACCACAUCGUCCAGACAAUUUUAUAUUUAAAGAAGAGAUUAUUUGUUGUUUCAUCUUCUGCCCCACACAUAACGCAUAAUUUACUCUCCAAAAUUAUUCCACUACUCUCUAGAUUGACUUUCAUCGGUAAUCUAUCUAUUAUAACUCGCCACGCUACUAGUUGCACAUGAAGAGANNNNNNNNNNNNNNNNNNNNNNNNNNNNNNNNNNNNNNNNNNNNNNNNNNNNNNNNNNNNNNNNNNNNNNNNNNNNNNNNNNNNNNNNNNNNNNNNNNNNNNNNNNNNNNNNNNNNNNNNNNNNNNNNNNNNNNNNNNNNNNNNNNNNNNNNNNNNNNNNNNNNNNNNNNNNNNNNNNNNNNNNNNNNNNNNNNNNNNNNNNNNNNNNNNNNNNNNNNNNNNNNNNNNNNNNNNNNNNNNNNNNNNNNNNNNNNNNNNNNNNNNNNNNNNNNNNNNNNNNNNNNNNNNNNNNNNNNNNNNNNNNNNNNNNNNNNNNNNNNNNNNNNNNNNNNNNNNNNNNNNNNNNNNNNNNNNNNNNNNNNNNNNNNNNNNNNNNNNNNNNNNNNNNNNNNNNNNNNNNNNNNNNNNNNNNNNNNNNNNNNNNNNNNNNNNNNNNNNNNNNNNNNNNNNNNNNNNNNNNNNNNNNNNNNNNNNNNNNNNNNNNNNNNNNNNNNNNNNNNNNNNNNNNNNNNNNNNNNNNNNNNNNNNNNNNNNNNNNNNNNNNNNNNNNNNNNNNNNNNNNNNNNNNNNNNNNNNNNNNNNNNNNNNNNNNNNNNNNNNNNNNNNNNNNNNNNNNNNNNNNNNNNNNNNNNNNNNNNNNNNNNNNNNNNNNNNNNNNNNNNNNNNNNNNNNNNNNNNNNNNNNNNNNNNNNNNNNNNNNNNNNNNNNNNNNNNNNNNNNNNNNNNNNNNNNNNNNNNNNNNNNNNNNNNNNNNNNNNNNNNNNNNNNNNNNNNNNNNNNNNNNNNNNNNNNNNNNNNNNNNNNNNNNNNNNNNNNNNNNNNNNNNNGAAAAUUAAAUGAUAGUAACAAAGAAUAUAUAUAUAUAUAUAUAUAUAUAUAUAUUAGAAUAUUCUAUAUAACUAUUGAAAAUUAAAAUGUAAUUAAAUAAAAAGUAUAUAUUUAAGUAAAUAUAAGUAAUACAACUACAAUUAUUCCAAUAGUUCAUAAAUGCAUAUACACAAGUUAUGAGUUACUAUAAAGUUUCCACUUGAUUCCUUCAAACAAGCAAUAAUCCAUCCUUGGUCAAACAAAUGAAUUUAAUAAACAACUAAUGACUCAUUCAAAUAAUUUACCACAUUUGCACCUCAACCCAUGCAAAUCAAAACAUGUGUAACCAAUAUUAAGUAUACAUCAAAAUGUCAUUAUCAUGUAGAUAGUUGAAGCAACAUGGUCCCAAAGCACAUGAUAGAAGAUACAUUCAUGAAUGUAGUCUUUGAAUUGCCUUCAAGCUUGUCUCACUAGUGUCCUGCAAUUAGACCUCCAUGCCUAUAACUUCUGCUAACUGUUACAUAAAUAUAUACACAGAACAAAAGGGUUGUGAUCUAUCAGUUUUGUUUACAAGAUCCUCCACUCGUGUGGUCAACACCUUGGAAUUAAUUUUAAUUAUCAUUACUUGCCGGAAUUUAAGUUUGAAUAUUUCUGGUUUUAACUACAGGAUGUUACCUCAAUAUGCGGCAACUUAGCUGCUAACCCUAAAGUGUAGUUGUUUAUGAGUGCAAAUUAUUAUAUUAAUUAUGAGUUUUAACACUUGGAAGAUUAUGGAAAUGAUUUUGACUACAUCAAAGAAUAUCUUUUGUAUCUAUUCUCAAUGCAUCUAAGUCAAAGUAUCCAGAAAUCUGGUGGCUCCCAGCUUAUUUCAUUAUUCUUUAUUCUCUCUCAUGUUAGUGAGUAAGUUUGUAUACAUUGCAUGCAACAGACAUAUUUUAUAUUUGUUUACGUGGGUUCAUUACUUUAUGCUAAAAAAUAUGCAGAAAAAGGCACAUUAUUAAUAUACCACUGUUGCUCCUGACAGUGAUGCUUCUAUAAGGGGCAGAAGAAGUUGGCCAAAAGCGAGUGAUCAUGAACAGAAGAAAAGUGAAAUUGAUUCUUCUUUCAAGAUCAUGUGGAUUUGUUUAAGCAUUCAUCAACAUCAAUGAAACUGCCACUACUGCUAUAUGCAUCACCUUCUGGUAAUAAAUGAAUAAAAUAAAAUUCUGUAAGAGUUUUUGAAGGAAAAUUUUGUUAUUUUUGUAGUAUGAACAAAAUUAUAAAAUAGAAAUUAGUUUUAAAGAAAAAAAAUAAUUAAUUGUUAUAUUCGUUAAAUUAGAGAUUUUUUGGGAUUAAAUAAAUUUUUUUAUUUUUAAAUUAGUUUUUAUUAUUGUUAAAUAGUUUUUAAAUUGAUAUCUAAAUAAUUGGUAGUUAAAAUUUUGGUAGUUAAUUAGAUACUAAUUUAGAAACUAUUUAAUAAUAAUAGAAACUAAUUUAGAAAAUAUUUUUUUUAGUUUGUAAAAUGGUUUCUAAUUUAAUUACUAUUGCAACUAAUUAUUUUGAUUUUUAAAAUUUGGUUUCUAUUUGAUGAUUUUCUUGUAAUAGUGUAUUUUUUUUCAUAUUUUUAAUCAUCAAUGCAAAUAGAUUAAACACGUAGAUAUAAAGAAAUGCUUAAUUGAUAAAAUAAAAUAAUAUUAUAUUUUGAUUAUAAGAACUAGCGGGAACAGAGGCGCUCGCGCCUGUGUAUCCGCAUUUUUUAUUUUUGUUUUUAAUGUAUAUCUAUAUUUUAUUUUUAUUAUUAUGUAUCUAAUAUUUUAUUUUUAUAAUUAUUGUGUUUUUUUAUUUUUGCUAUUAAUGUUAUUAUUAUUAUGUAUCAAUAUUUUUUAUUUUUACUGAUUUGACUAUUCAUCAAAUCUAUAAUAGUUUGAUUUUAAUUAGUAUUUCAAACUAAAAGAAACUUAGGUCUUAAUUAAUACAUUGUUUUAGUGAUUAUAGUAAUAUUUAACCUUUUAAAUCAAAUAUAUAGACGAUCAUAUAUAUAUAUAUACUCAUUUUGUUUUAACAUAGAUUGUGAAAAUUAUGUCAUAAAAAUAUUUUUUUAAAAUGCAUAUUGAUUGAAUAUUAUUAAAACUCAUUAAAUUUAGUAAAAUUAUGUUUAUUAUGGUUUACACAAUAAUUUUAAAAGACCUCCCAUUCAAUUAUGUUCCACAACAUAAAAAAAAAUCAGAUCUUCAGAAAUAAAAAUAUAAACCAAAAUAAGAUAAUGCAUAAAAUAAAAAAAAUAUAAACCAAAAUAAGAUAAUGCAUAAAAUAAAAAAUCGAAACAUUUUACAUACUAAUUUUUCUAUUCAAAUUUGAAUUAGAGUAAUGAUGAAAAAACAUUAUUCUAUGAUUGGGGACGUGAAAUUAGAGUAUGAGAAGUUAUCACUUUCCAUUUUUUUUUUAUAAACCAAAAUAAGAUAAUGCAUAAAAUAAAAAAAUAUAUAAACCAAAAUAAGAUAAUGCAUAAAAUAAAAAAUUGAAACAUUUUACAUACUAAUUUUACUGUUCAAAUUUGAAUUAGAGUAAUGAUGAAAAAACAUUAUUCUAUGAUUGCGGAGGUGAAAUUAGAGUAUGAGAAGUUAUCACUUUCCAUUUUUUUUAUAAUUUAAUAUAAAGCAAAGCAAAAAAGUUAAAAAUGUUUGAAUAAUAAUGUAGUGCAAUAUUGAGAAAAUACAGGUUCUAUGUUAUCAAAUUACAAAGACAGUCACAACACCAAAGAAUUAUGAUAAGCACAAGAAAAUCACAACAGAUAUUAAAUGAUCAUAAAAAUAAUAAUUAAUAUGUAUUUAACUUUAAUGCUUUAUAAUUAAGAUAUAAAAAUUUGAGGUAUAUGUAUUAGAUUUGUUGCACUUUUUUGAUACCCAUUGAAAUAAGACUCAAAAUUGCAUAGUAUUCUUCUCUCCCAGAAGAAAGAAAUGAAAUGUAGUGUACAUCUCCAUACGGUAAUAUAUAUGCAUAUAAUUCAAAUUCAUGAUAGAUAAUGAAUUGCCUAAAGAAGAAGAAAAGGAAGAAAACAAAAAGGGAACAACGCAAAAGUAGGUUGUUAAGAUCAUAUGUCAUUGAUUUGCAAAAGUAUAUUACAAAUACUCAAUCUCAUUAUGUUGCUCAAGAAGGUCUUCGACAAAUUCUUCUUCUAAAGAACUUACAUCAAUAUCUUUUUCAGUCUUGAGUAUAGGCUAGACCCUCAUUAGACACAAUAAAACCUUCAUAAUCAUCAGACAACAAAACCUGCAUAGUUUCUUGAAAACAAAUAAACCUUGGAGAGAUGCUCCUAGAACACCAUAGUUUGUCGAGAUUUUUCCAAUCACUGAUCCAAAGCCACUGCAAAAAAAAACCCCAAAAACUCACAAACAAUCAAUGAAAAGUGCAAGAUUAAUCAAAGAAAUGAAAGUAUGAUUUUACAUGAAAGUGAAAAGGAAAGAGAAAAGAAAGUGAGAAGUAUGGUAAAAAAAAGGAUGUGUUAUGUGUAGUGGAGAGAGAAAGUGGGAAGUAGGUACCUAUAUAGGAGAGAGAAAGUGGGAAGUAGGUACCUAUAUAGGAGAGAGAAAGUAGAAUAUCAGUUUAAAUCAGAAAUGUAAUGUACCAAAUCUCCACUCUCCUGUUAAAGUGGUCCACAAAACAUUACAAAUAUCUUUAAUUUUUUAUUUAAUAGAGAAGAAGAUCUUUAAAACAUAAAAGUAACUAAUCAAUCUCUCCACUCUCCCCACUCUCCAGUUAAAUAAUAACAAAUAAAAUAAAUUUUAAAAUUAAAAAAUUAUUUUAUUAAUUUUUGAAAUUAUAAAAUGCCCAAAUAACCAAAAUAUUUUAAUACAAUAAAUUAUUAAGUAAAGAUAAAUGGAAAAACAAAUUAAGAGCAAUUAAGAGGAGAAUAAGAAAUGACACAAUGAUCGUAAUACAAUAAUAAAAUUAAAUAUUAAUAUAAGGAUAAAAUAGGGAAAAAAAUUAAGAGCAGUUAAUAGGAGAAUAAGAAAUGACACAAUGACCAUAAUAAAAUAAUAAAAUUAAAUAAAAAUAUAAAAAUAAAAUAGAAAAAAAAAUUAAGAGCAGUUAAGAGGGGAAUCCACUUUUAUAUAUAUGUAUAGAUAUAUAAAAUUAUCUACCACUAUUAUGAUAUAAUAACUACAAUCAUAAUUAUCAUGUUUUUUAUUACACUAAAUUCAAAAAUAAAAAAAUUAUAUGGUAAUUAGUUGUUUAAAAUUCAUACCCAUUAAAUAUAAGAUAUUUUAAUAAUAUAUAUUAAUUAUAUUCAUCAAUAAUCAAAUGUAGGUUGAUACCUUUGUGUAUCUAAUGUAUUACAAACCAUAAAAACAGGUUGAUAAGUAAAAAAUAAUUAGAUAUUAGUAUAUUAAAUAUCAGUAGCUAAAAAAAUACAAUUAAGAAAUAAUGAAAAAUGCAUAUCCAUUAUAUCUUGCAUGUCAAUCUUACGACCUAAUAAGCAAAAUCAAUAAUAAAUUAAAACACUAAAAGAAAUAUAGAUUUAUUUUAAAAAUAAAAUUUAACUUAAAAAAUUAAACAAAUAUUUUCGAACAAUACGACUUCCAAUGUAACUAAGUAUAUUUGAUUGUCUUAUUUAUUUAAUUUAAAAAAAAUGGAAAUCAAACCAUUUAUUCAAAAUUUAAAUAUUUAAUCAUUAUGAGGCGUUAAUAAAAAACAUUCAACUAUGAAUUAAUGAAAAUAAAUACAAUGUUCACCGUUGUCAAAAAAUAUAAUUUAUUACAUUUUCUUUUUUGAAAUUCAAAAUUAAUAAAGGCUAUUAUUGUCCAUAUAUAGAUUAAAGUAACGAUCACUUGCCACGUCACCAAUAUCUGAAUCUUGAGAAAACGGCUCCUUCAUUCGCAUCCUUAUUCCUGCAACUGGAUUUCUUACGCAUUUACGAAGUUACUGAAUCGUAGCCGUUUAUAUUAAUCGAACGGCAUAUAUGAUAUAAAGUAAAUUGAAGUUAAAACAUGCAUUUCAUAUCAGAGCCGUUGGGUUCACAUCUAAAGGUCAUAAUUAUCUGAUUGAGCGAAUGCAUUAUAUAUCUGGUUGCACUUGAUAUAAUUCUCCAGUUUCCCUCCCAAAACCGAUUUCGAUUCUCACACUUUACCCCUUUGUCACUCUAAAUAAUCCAUCUCUUCAAAUUGCAUUUCAAUUUCCGAAACCCUAAAAAGUUUCCCAAUUCCUCGUCUUCGUGUUGAACCUGAAGGUCUGUUUUCCCCUUCAAAUUUUACAAUUCAGCUCUGUUUUGUUUCCUAGAAAACAAAGAGUAUAUAAAAAAGACAAUUUUUAUUUGAAGCAGUGGGAUUUGAGCAUUUUCAAAAUUUCUGAAAAUUUUUUAUAUGUAAUUUUUCUGUCUUAUACCAUAAGAGAGAUAAGACAAAACACUCUUUUUGCAAUAGACGACUAUUACACAUGUAAGCAUGUACGUAGUACGAAUGUACGUACCUACGUAUGUGUAUGUAUGUAUGUAUACAUGAACAGAGAUCGUGCAUGAUGCAUGAUGCAUUUCUUAGAUGUGAUGGGAAUUUUCAGUGUUUGAUUAAUUUUUUUGUGAGCAUGUGUAUGUAUAUAUACAUGUUAUACAUUUUCUAAUAAUCACAUUGAUUAUUUUUUUUUUCAGCAUACUUGUUCGUUCCUAUGUUCAGCAAUCGUAAAUUUGGUCAACAAGAAACAACAUGCCAUUUGUUGCUAAAAGAACUCCAGGUUCUGUCCCUUAUCUAAUUUGUGAAGAAUCUCUCUUACUUAUCAUGUUUUUCCCUAACAGCUUAUUCUAGAGGACUUUGAAGUAACAUUGUUUAUUUUCUGUUUGCUUGAUACUUGUGCGUGGAAUGUCAGAUAAUAUGGGAUGAAGUUGGAGAGUCUGAUUCUCAAAGGGAUGCAAUGUUACUGGAAAUAAAACAGAAGUGUCUGGAUUUGUAUAGAAACAAAGUGGAUGAAGCCAAACUGUAUAGAGCACAAAUUCAGCAAGAAAUUACCGAUUAUGAGGGAGAAAUUGCUGGCAUCUGUGCAGCAUUGGGUGAACAAUCACUGCAUGUAAGUAUUGUUGGAACUCGAGAAUUUAGUGUAUUGGAUAAUAUCUUGGUCACUGGAGACUUUACAGUUGACAAGCUUUGAUUGGUGUGUCCUCAGUUUGAUCCAAAGUCUUGUGGAAGCUUGAAGAAAGCACGUGAAAAAGUGGUUUCACAACUUGAGGAGAUGCGCAAGCUGAAAACCGAAAAGAAGAAACAGUUUGCAGAGGUCUUAUAUCAUUUGAAGAAUAUCUCUAUUGAGCUUCAUGGCUCCAAGGUGCUUGAUGCAUAUUUAGAUGAGAACAACUUGUCUUUGAAAAGACUAGAGGAAUUGCAGAAGCAAUUACUUCAAUUACAAAAUGAAAAGGUUGUCUUUUCUGCUGACUUAUUUAUUCAAACUUUUGAUAGACCGAAAUGCAUGUUGUUCAUGACGUGUUCUGGAAUGCUGCAAUGCAUAUUGUUAGUGAUUGAAGAAAUUUAGGUGAAGCAUUGAUGCUUCCAAACCUGUUCUUACAAUCUUACCAUAAGAAAGAAUAAGUUUCAUGCAUUAAUUUCUCUGAGAUUUUGCAGGCCAGUCGACUGAAGCAGGUGUCUGACCAACUCAACACUCUCAAUUCAUUGUGCUCGGUCCUUGGUUUAGAUGUCAAAGACAAAAUUUGUGAGAUCUGCCCUACCAUGGUUAAUUCAUCUCUAACAAAAGAUGUUAGUGACAAUACAAUAAAGAAUCUGACUUCUGAGAUACAAAGUUUGAGAGAGAUUAAAAUACACAGAAUGCAGAAGGUCAUAAUUCUUGUUCUUAUCCUUCGUUCUUGAAAUACAGAUUUAUUUUAAGUAGCAUUUCUCACUUUACAUGCUUCCUCAGCUUCAAAGUCUUGCAGUUGCUCUAUUAGAGAUGUGGGAUUUGAUGGAUACACCGCUAGAGGAACAACAGAAAUUUCUCCAUGUGACCAGUAAAAUUGCAGCUUUGGAAUCUGAAUUUGCUGAGUCUAAAAUACUUUCAAUUGACUCCGUCAUUUACGUGAGUUUUUUUUUCUGUCUUCGACAGUAAUCUUAGCUCUCUUCUUCUUCCUAUUCACGUAAAUUAAAUUUGCUUCAAUUGUAUUACAGCUUGCACCAUUUAUAUGUUAUUUACGAAUGAUUUUUUCUCCUUGCAGGUUGAGAAGGAAGUUGAAAGGCUUCAAGAACUUAAAUCAAUCAAAAUGAAAGAACUGUUGCUGAAAAAGAAGUUGAAGUUAGAAGAAAUAUGCAGGAAAACACAUCUGACUACACAAACAGUUUUACCAGGCCAACAUUCACUUGAGUUUUUAGACUACGGUAAGAUUUUCCCCAAGUUUUUAAAGUUUCUGUUAAUUAUAUCAUUCUUCAUUUAUUGGAUAAUGAUUCCACAGUAUGUGCACUCUUAAUUUAAUGCCUCUAAGGCUACACGUUAAGUAAGAAAAGCAUAGGCCAGUCACAACAUUGUCUGUUGAAAAAUAGUCAUAAGCAGAAGAACAAUGUCAUGGCUAUUAAUCUAAAUUUAUUCCUUUCCUCGUCUGCUAAUUAUAUGAUUGUUUCAAAUAUAUCUCAAUUAUUUAACAGUUUGUUAUUUUUUUAUCGAAAGUGUUCCACAAUGUCACUAUUUGUCCUGUCCAUUUUGUGAUAAUCACUCUUGCAGAUCAAAUUGAACACCUAAUUACUAAGACAAACGAAGAAGCUCUUGGCCGGAAAGAAAUUCUGGAAAAGGUUGAGAAGUGGUUUGCUGCAUGUCAAGAAGAAAGCUGGCUGGAGGAGUACAAUAGGGUGAUGUAGUGUUGUUGUUGACAUCAGUGGAUAUUUCCUUCUUUCAUUGUUGUUUGCUUUAUCUUUUUAAGUGUUGUGCCUUUUUAGGAUGAUAAUCGUUAUAAUUCUGGAAGAGGUGUACAUCUUGCCUUGAAACGUGCUGAGAAGGCCCGUGCUUUAUUAAGCAAAAUUCCUGGUGAGUAUCUUAUUUCUAAGUGGUCUAACAGAUUAAGUGUUAGAUUUUCAACAAUAAUAAAGCAAGAAAACAAGACCAAAAUUGAAGAAAACAUUUUAUUGAUAACAGAAAGUCUAUACAACUCUCAGACAACAACGGUAUCUUUACAAAGAUCACAAAAACUCUAUAUAUACAUCCUAUGAAGAAGAAGUACUAGAAGACUAUUCAAAAAAAUAACCAUCAAACUAAUUUGUCUCAACACUAUUAGAUGGUCUGAUCGUUGGACUAAGCUUUUGUAUUUAGAGUCAACCAUCACAUUAAGGAUUCUGAAUAACUUUAAUAUCAUCUUAGUAAACCUCAAAAAACCAAGUUAUAAAGUGAGGAUUAUACUCUAGUUAUAUAUUAUAAUCUGGCUUAAUUCCUAGUCAAUGUGGAACUUAUUUACCUAUCAGAAAUUUGAUAUGUGUAUGUAAUAUCAAUUUGAUAUGCCAAACCUCAGAAGUUCAAAGUAAAAAGAGGGGGUGUCGCACAAAAACAUUGUGGUAACUAACAAGAGAAGAAAGAAGCCAUGCUUAAACUUUCCAACUAAUGGAUAGGAACCUAACCAACACAACUGAACAUGAUACCUAUUGUCAACUAAUACAUGGAUGAUUUAGCCAGUACAAUUACUUAACUAACUCUGUUAUUAUGAUAAGCUAGAUUUGGACAAAAUAUUGACAUGUGACAUGGUGAAUUCAGCUUAUUAACUCUAUUCGGUUGUUUGUAUAUUAUUAACUGCAUUUUUCUUCAAGUAAUGAUAAUACAAUGGAGUACCAUGUACCAAGAGGAGUUAAAUAUUUUAGUUCCUCUAUUUUCUCCUUUAUUUUAAUGUGUAUGUUAUUGAAACAGGCUUGGUAGAGGCAAUAAUUUCAAAAGUUAAAGCAUGGGAGAAAGAAAGAGGACAAGAUUUUUUGUAUGAUGGAGUAAGUUCUUCUGACAAAAUCAUAUAUGCAACUUUUAUGAAUUAGCCUACUAGAUUUUACGAAAAUUUGGCGAGGUAGACUUUCUCUUGGAAAACUAUGUCUAUAGUAUAACAUUCUCAUAUCUUUUCAUGCAUUGUUGUAAUCAUGGAUGUGUGUAUAGAGCCGGCUACUUUCCAUUCUUGAAGAUUACAGCAUUUUAAGGCAGGAGAAAGAGAAUGAAAGGCUAAGGCACAGGGUAUGAACUGUGAAACUACACAUUAUAGUAAUUAAAUAUAUAUGUUGUGAAAUUUUCUUUUAGACACUCUUGUUUCUACCAUCAUCUAAUUCAAUUGCUUUUGUUUCAUAUUAAUUUUAGGAUCAAAAGAAACUUCAGGGACAACUGAUGGCCGAGCAUGAAACACUUUUUGGUUCAAAACCCAGCCCAUCAUCUAAAAGUGGGUACAAGGCUUCUAGAUGUUCUACAGGAAUUCCAAGUAUUAGAAAAUUUUCCAUUGGUGGAGCAAUGCUUCAGGAUCAAAGACAUGCCUCUCUUGUUCACCAAUCUAACAAAAAGGGUAACAUUACCAAUCACAAAGGCUCCAUUCUUCGCAACAAGAAUAUUUACCAUUCAACUCAAUCCUCAGGUAUUUAAAAAAUAUAUAAACUGUGCUUAAGCUUUAUAAGUAAAUAUUCUCUCUAUGGAAGAUGUUAACAUCCCUUAAAAGCUGUUUUUAAGCAUUUAAAAGUGGAAAAAGAUAUCAUAAAAUUAAAUAUAUUUUUUUAGUCCACGUAAAUAAAUAAAAAAAAUUGCCUUCGUUUUGGUCUGUCAGUUGUUAAAAUGUGUCAAAGUGUGUUCCCAAAUAGAAUUGCAUUGUUGUAUCUUUUGAUGAAGAAAGUUUACUUAUAAUGUCUUAAUCUGUGUUUUUAACUUUUAGUAGAGACUAAAAAUGCAAACAUUUUCCAAAGUUGAAAACAUAUUUAAUCAUGAUAGUGAAAGAAAGUAUAUAUUACACUUCUGUAUUUAUAGCAUGAUAAAUAUUUUGUUUUAACCAAAACAUUUUUUCUGGUGUUUAAUCGCUUGAUGUUAAUGGCACUUUAGCAGGAAAUGAUAACUCUAAAGCUGUGGGUCAUUCAGUGAAGACUGCAAGCAGUGCAGAAAAGAACAUUGAAAUUCUGUCAUCAUUGACCAGGAAGCCCCUCUCUCCUCUUUCUCCUGCAGUCCUGUCGACAACCAACAUAUCAAAUCUUCAAGAAGACCAUAAUAGUAAACUACAGAAUGUAGCAACACAGCAAAAAAGUCAAAUGCUAACAGCAACUCCACCCUCCAGGCCAUACAUAGCUGGUGCUGAAGAAAACAUGACACCAAAGAAUAUGACUCUUCCAGUGCCUACCACUCCUUUGACUUCCAUCCCCAUGUUGACUGCCACUACACCAGACACUGUAUAUUCUGGUACCACUGCUUCUUCAAAGACUAGCCAAUCAUUUGAAUAUUCAUUUGAGGAGGUAAGAGCUGGUUUUAUGCUCCCAAAAACCUAUGCUCAAUGAUUCAAUUUGUUCUAGGAUGUUCCACAAUCAACAACACAUGGUAGUUUGUUUGCUGACCAAUUUUCUGCUUUGCAUAUUGCAAUAACAACAUUGUGAACUUUUGUUGAUAUCUUUGGGGGGAAUAUUGGUUUGGGGCUUCAUUCAGUCAGCACAAGUGUGUGCUUUGGUUUGAAAUUUCUUCAACAUAAGCAUGUUACUAUAAUGGGUUUCAGCUUGAUCCAUCAAAUUAAUACUGUUUUGAUUUAAUCCAAGAUACAGUAUAAAUGGGGCUUUUUUUCUUUGGCCCACAUAAACUUCUUCUAUUCACUAUUUUAAUAUUUUGGAAUACUAUUUUCACAAUAAAUAAAAAAAUAUUUUUAUAGGAAGAAAUGUGUUUAUUUUGCACAGCUGCACCUUUUUGAGCCUUCUAAUUUUGUAAUUGCAAAUUAAAGAAAAAUAUCAACAUAAGCAUUUAAAAAUAGUAGCAUUUUCUUAAUAAUAGUAACAUUUUCUUGAAAAUAAUACUUAAUACUCCGAAAACAUAAAAAUAUAAGAUUUCUUAAAUUUACUAUUUUUAAUAUUUUAAUACUUAAAUUAAUUUAUAAUUUUUUUUCUUUGUUUUCCAUUAAUUUGAUAGGGACAGCUUUCGGUGAUUAGUAGAAGUCAGUCCCAGAUUUGUUCUUUGUGGGUCUAAAGUCAGUCCCAAAUAAAUGGUAUCAAAACAAUACCAACCACAUUUGACCAUCUUUUAUAGGAUCAAUUAUAUAGAUGUCUAUUAUUUUAUUUUAGAUUAUUCCAUUUUUUUCAGAUUAAACCUUUUUUUUAAAUAAUUAAUUAUCCAAAUAAAGACUAACAUUGUUAUUCAACUAUACUAAUCCACUCGUAACCAUUAAGAAUUCGGUGAAUAAUAUCAGUGGAUUAUUCUCCCUUUUUUAUUUUAGAAAAAAAUGGAUGAUUUUCUUAGAUUUGUUGUGAGGAAUAUAUGUGUGAUUUAAUCAUUCGUCUUCAUCUUGAUUUGAUCUUAAAAAAGUCUGAAAAUUGUGUGUUGUCCUUCAUUGACUUCUGAUCGAAAAUUAAAUUAUUUAAAAAUUAAGUUUCUUUGAGUGCUUGAAUUGGAUUAUGAGAUCGAAAAAGAAAAGAUUGGAUCUAAUGUGCUGGAAAAGGAUAAGGAAGAAAGACUAUGCACUUGUGGAUGUGAAGACAAAGAGAAUUUUUUUUUUUACGAAAAACCUAUUCUGAGUUACUUUAGAAACCUAAAUUUAACUUUUUAAUAUACAAAAAAUCAAACUUAAUAACAACUUGUUUAAUGUAGCUUUCAUACAUACACACACGUCUUUUUUUCAAUUUUUUAAAAAUAAUUGGAGUCAAUAUUUUGAAAAUUAAUACAUGGUUAUUGCGAAAAAAAAUAUUAUUAAUUAAUUAUUUAACUAAUCAAAAAGUUUAAUAAAUGUUAAUUUAGAAUAACCAUUAUUAAAUAUAUAAUAAAAAAUGCAUUAUAAUUAUAUAUGAUUUGGUUGGUGAGGGGGCAUAUUAUACGAAUAUACGUUGCAUAAUGAGAUUAAAAAUAUUUGAAUAUGAAUGGGUGAGGCAAUAUAAUUGCGUUAUUGACAUGAUCAUAGCUUUGGAUUUGCUGUCGUAUAAAGUGUUUUCUAAUCUUCGGAAUUGUCGGUUCAUGUGUUUGGUUUCACUGUUUCACUUUGGAACAUUGUCACCAUUCAAAUGAUGCAUGUGAUUAUCAUUAUUAUCUCAAAUUUUCAAUUUCUAAAUAACAACACCUUUUCAAUUAUAUCAAAUUAUUGUUUACCUUUAUUUAUAUAUUUAUUUUAACUUUUUAUUUUAAUUGGAAAAUUCAAAUGAUCGAAUACAAGUAUAAAAUAUAAUUUACUUAUUUACAAGUUCUUAUAUAUUAUAAAUUUUAGUUAUAAUGUAAUUUAAAUAUUUAUUAUAAUUAAACAAAAUGAAUAGUAUAUCUUAUUCUGUACGAGUUAAAUUUUAAUCUAAAUUAGAGUAAACAAAAUUGAAGAAAUAAAAGUAUCGUACUUUACCCAUUUAUUUGUAAAUAAUUUCAAAAUCACUAUAUGUAUUUAAAUUAUUUUUUAUUAUCAAUAAAUAGUUUAAAAAUUAAUAUACAAUUAGUUUUAUAUUAAUUUUUUAGAUUCUGGUAACUAAAAUUUUACUAGUUAAUUAGAUAUUAAUUUAGAUAUUAAUAAUUAGUUUAUAAAAAAUAAUAUUUAAUUUAAUUAAUAUAAAAAUUAAUUAAUUUUUAUAUUAAAAAUUAAUUUAUUUUAUUUUAUUUUUUAGUGAUUUUUAAAAAGAUAACAAAAAAUUGGAGUUAUUUAUCAUUGUUCAUUAAAAAACAAACACCAUGUAUUAUUUUAUUAAAAAAAGUGUGUUAAUUUUUCAAUUAAUAAAUUUUUGUUUCCUCGUAAUUUAUAUAUUAGAAAUGAAAAUGGAUUAUUUAUAAAAUAUAAUAAUAUUUUAUUAAUAAAUUUUAAAAUGAAUUAGUUAUAAUAUUUAUAAAUAAAUAAAAGUUAAUGUUAAUUUUUAAGUUUGUUAUAAAAUGUUUAAUUUUAAACUUAUUUUCUAUAUUAUUACCACAACAUGAGUUUUUCAAUAUAGUUUUUCUUUUAGAUUAAGGUUAUUUGAAUCUCUUCUGAAGUUAAUAAGUUAGAUCGAUCAAAAUGUGAUUGUGAUUAAGAAGGAAAGUUGUUGGUGUAAGUGAAGGCUUACUUGCAUUGAUUUGGUUGUUGAAAAAGUUUCUCAAAAGAUUUAAGUUUGGAAAACACUUCAAUUCAAGUAAGGAGAACUCAUAUGAAUUUCUACAAUGGAGUGGUUCUUUUUGUUGAAUGAAAUACAUGAGAUUGCAUUGCAUAGGCAAUCACAUAUAUUUUUGAAUGGAUUGGUGGGUUUGUGUUGACAUAGUUGUUGUUAAAAGUUUAAAGACGACCUGGAUAAUGAAUCUGGGAAAGGAGAACACUCUUAGUCAGUUAAAAAACUUAGAAAAAUAUUGUAGAGGCCAAAUAUCGCUCGAGCAACAUGUUGUCACUUAGACGAGGUUCAAGCGAUGUACAUUAAUUGCACUAACUGCCUUGUGUCACUCAAGCAACAUGAUGUAUAACUCAUGUGAGGACUUUCAGCAUGAACAAAAGAGAUGUCAAGUGUUGUGUUGAACGCUCAAGUGAUGUGACAUGGAAAAAACAUUAAUUUUAAUCGCUUAGGCGUAGCGUGAGAUAGUGUACACAUAUUAUGACGUGUGGCACUGCAUGCAUGUAGCUUGAGUGCUUAAACAUUAGUUGGACGAUCAAGCACCUUAAGGUUGUUGAUGGACUUUUUGGAACUUAUUAGAUGGUAACACUUAGAUGUUGUUCAAGCGACAAGAUCGUCAAAUUUAUGAAUAAUACAUUCUUUUAAAUACAAUGUUCUAAAUUUUUUAUUAUUAUUAAAUGAUUUGAAUAUUAUAUACACAUUAAAUUUAAGCCUAUAAUGUCUAGAAAGCUAUAUCUAACAAACUCUAAAGGACAGACAAACGAAAGAUUUUAUCUAAUGAAACUCUUAAGGAAAAUGAACCUUAAGGCUUCGUCUGAAAGACAAAUGAACCCAAGACUUUGUCUAACACACUUAAUCCAACAUUCUACAAGAUAAAGCAAACUCAAAGUUUCAGCUGACACAUUUGAAGAAGUUUGUAGUCAAAUGAAUUGGAUUUGAAGGAUAAUGCAUGGAAAUAUAUAAUGUGAUCAAAUAAAAUGCGUUGAUGAAAUGAAACUUGCAUGAAAUGCACAUUAGAGUAAUUUUAAUCUUAAUGAGGUAUUUUCAUUUUUACCAUAUGCAUUAUAUUCUUUCUUAGCAAAUUUGCGAAGAUUUACGAAGAAUAUGAUUAAAAUAAUGUAAAUAAUAAUAAUUAUUAUUAAAAUAUUAAUAAAUAUAUAAAAUGAUAAUUAAAAUAAAAAUAUUAAUAAUAAAUUUAUGAAAUAAUAACUAUUAUUAAAAAUUAUAAAUAAUAAUUAAUAAUGAUAAAAAUAAAUAAUAGUAAAACAAAAUUAAUUUAUAAUAUAUUUUAUAAUUAUUAAAAAUUUACAUAAUAUUAUUAAAAUGUCAAAAUUACUCUUAAUUUAUUUGUAUCAAAUAUUUAAUAAUAUUAUUAAUAAAAAUAAAUAAUAAUAAUAAUAAAAUAUAUUUAUUUAUAUAAUAAUAAUAUUAUUAUUAUUAUUAAUUAUAAAAAUGACUAUAUAAAUUAAUUAAUUAUUUUUUAUUAUUCAUAUAUUUUUAAAAGUAAGGGUAAAUUUGUAAACUUGUAUUUUACAUAUUUUAAAAAAAUUAAAAAAAUUCACACAACUAUCACAUCAUUCACAAAAUUUAAUAAACUUUCCUCACAAAUCUACUCUAAUAUACCCUAAUCCAAACAACCUCACUUUCCUCUCAAAUCACUCCAAAUUCACUCCCUCAAAUCUCCUCCCCAAUCCAAACACACCCUAAAUGAGUAAUAUUUGAACAUGAUGAGAUAGUAUUGCAUAUAUAUUGAUGGAGUUUAUUUAUCUUGAUUAGUCAAUGCAAAAAUAAUUUAAAUUAUGACACAUAAAUCAGAGAGUAUGUAUGAUUAUAUGUGAAUAUUAUUGUGUUAUGCAAAUUAUUUAUAUAAUACUUGUUCUCACUUAUUUUCAUGUUUCUUAUUUUUCCUCUUAAUAAAAAUGUUAAAAGAAACAUUAUACUUUAACACCAUAUAAGACAAAAAUAUAUUCACUUUACAAUCUAUUUUAACAAUAUAAUAAUAUAUAUUAAUAAUUUAUUAUUAAAAUAUAAAAAAUAUGAUUAAAAUAUUAAUAUAUUGAGUUGUCAAGUGAUUGUAUUUUUUAAGGGGUGUCAACAAGGACAACAUGGAAUGUUCAAACUACACAUGAACUUUCAAUAUUCAUCUAAUAAUCAUAUGAAGUAUUGCACAAUUAAGUUAUUAAAAGAAUACCUUAUAGAGGCACGUCUAACAAAGAAUAUGUGAAUGUAGUUUUAGCUACCUAACAGAAAAAAUGUAAUUAUCAUUUGUCCAAACAAAAGCUCAUUAGAGGGAGAGCGAAAACAAACGCGUUUUCGUCUGGCCCAUCAAAUGAAGCUAUAGCAUGACAUUUAAUUAAGUCUAAUGUGAUCUCAAGUUAAUAAAUGUUUAUCUAAUAAAUAUAUACAUUUUGUUUUACAAUUAACUAUUAAAUUAAUAAAUACGAUAUUUUAAAAAGGAGUCAUGAGAGAUAGCCUUGGGAGGGUGUUGCUCGAGUUACAUUUCGCUAGUGAAAUGGUUGAUGCUUUAUUGGUGUAUGUUGUUGAGAUCGUUCAAGUGAGAUAAACUUUCUAUAGAUAUGCAUGUCAUACGUCCUUUUUGGGUGACAUUCAUGGUGAAGGAUCACUUAUAUACAUGUAUAUGAUAUUAUAUAUAAAUAUAUAAGGUUUGACCUCAUAUGGGUGAUCCUUAUUGGGUGGUCUGCAUGAUCUUGAUGGGCGAUUUAGGAAUUUCUAGGAUAAUAUCAUGUCUUGAGAAACAAUGAUAAAUACGAAACUCAUAUUAAUAGAGGUAUCUUGAUUUCAUUGUUGUCUAAUCACAUAGACAUGNNNNNNNNNNNNNNNNNNNNNNNNNNNNNNNNNNNNNNNNNNNNNNNNNNNNNNNNNNNNNNNNNNNNNNNNNNNNNNNNNNNNNNNNNNNNNNNNNNNNGAUAAUACAUUAUAGAUAAGCGUAACAUUACAUUAUUCAAUCUAUUAUCUUAUUAAAAUUGAUCUUAUAAAGAUGACCCGAAAGUUUAAAAGAUAAAAACAAAUAACUUGAUAUAUUUAAUAAUUUUUUACUAAUGUGAGUUAAAUCUUAUCUGGUUAUAUUUUAUGUUUAAUUUUUUUUUUGUCUUGUUAUGAUAUUUUUAAUUUAUUGAAUCAAAGACUAAUCUUGGAGAUGAAAACUAAAAAUAUGUAAGCACUAAAUAUAUAGUCCUUAUUAGCAUGUUAAUUUUCAGUUGCAACAAUCUAAAUUUAAAUAAAACUUAAAAGUUUCUAUUUCAGUAAGCUAAAUUCAAUUGAAAUUUAGAAUAUUUAAACUUAAAAAACAAACCUGCCAUAAGUAAGUUUAUCGGGUUUUACAAAUUUCAUUUAAAUCUUACAUUUUUAAUAAACGAAUUCUAGCACACUUUUAUUUUUUAUAAAAACUUUCGGUUAGACAUCAUAAUGCUACUUAACAUUUCACCUCAUUAUGUUACUAACAUUAUUAACAAACAUCUCACCUAAGUUGACAUUUCAAGUAACAACAAUCAUUUGUCAUCACAUGAAAAAGUUAUUAUUAAAAAAAUAAAAAAAAUUAUGAAAAUAGACCAAAACUCAUAUGUUAACAAAAACUAUACAUAGAUAAAUUAUAUUUAUUAAUAAAGAAUUAUGAGAACAGACAAAAUGAAAGCCUAUUAUACCAAUGAAAGGAUUCUCAAUGAAUAAAUCUUAAAUUAAUUGACUUAUCAACACAAGUAUUCUCAUUACGAAUAUAUAUAUAUAUAUAUAUAAAUAAAGAGUAAGGUUUGUUAUAUACACCAAUAAAAAUACUAGUUUUCAUAAAUUUUUAAAUAAAUUAAUUUAUAAAUAAAAAAAUAAGAAAAAAUAGAAUAGAAGGAAGAUAUAAGAAAUAAGAAAAGGAGUUAUUGAUUUUGGAGUGAAUUUGAAAUAGUGUGGUGGGUCCAAUAUAAUGGUGUUGGGUUUUGACAGAGCAGAACAUGUGCAGAAGAAAGAAGAGAAGAAGGGUAGGGUAGGUGAGUAUUCAGUAAAUGCCAAACAAACCUAAGACAAAGGUAACUGCUUCAUCUUCUGACUCAUUGGGUGUCCGACACCUGUCACUACCACACUCAAAACCUUGGACUUUAUUUCUUGGACCUUUCCUCAUUCUACCUACCUCCCCUCACACUUUUCUUUAAUUUCAACCCUAUCAACUAAGUAAAAAACCUUAAUCUUUUAUUUCUACCAUCUUAUCUUAAAUCAUUGCACUUUGAAUUUCAUUCUCAACUUCAAAGAUUCCACACUCCAUUAUAAAGAUAUAAGAGCUUUCACAAUUUAAGAGGAAGAGGAGAGGAUAUAAUCUACCAAUUUAUUGAGUUUAUUUUUUUUUUAUUGAGAGCACCUCAAAUCUCAUAUGGAAUCAUAAUUCAUCAAAAUUAAAUCUAUUUGAUAAUGGACUCACUAUUUUGGAACAAUCUUACAUCAAAUAUCAUACACGAAUAUUAUUAAAUAAAAUUCAAUUUUAAAAAUUAAAAAUAAUUAUUUAUUAUAUUAAUUAAAUUAAAUAUUAUUUUAGACACUAUAAAAUUAUUGAUAUCUAAAAAUAAAUAUUUUAUAAAUUAAUAUCUAAUUAGUUAUCAAGAUUUUAAUUAUCAAUUUUAAAAUAUAAAUAAUUGGUAGUUAAAACAUUAGUAACUAAAACAUUAAUAACAAAUUAAAUAUCAAUUUAAAAAUUAUUUAUUAAUAAUAGAAACUAAUUCAAAUACCAAUAAUUUUGUUAGUUUUUAAAAUAAUAUAUGAUUUAGUCAAUAUAAAAAAAUAUUUUUUUUUCUUUAAACUUGAUUUCUAUUUAAUGAUUUUUUAGUAAUGUAUUAAAUUUGUUAUUAUUUUAAUUUUAUUAAAUAUUAUAUAUUUUCUUAUAAUUUAAGAAAUUAUGAGAAAAUAUUAAAUAAAAAAUAUUUGUAAAGAUAAAAAAUAAUUAAUUAUUAUAUUAACUAAAUUAUAUACUAUUUUAUAAAAUAAAAAAUUGCUGUUAUAUAAAAUAAUUUUUGUUAUUAAUAAAAAUUUAACUAGUUUCUAAUUAAUUAACAAAGUUUUAAUCACCAACUACAUUAAAUACCAACUUUUUUGGUUCUUUCUAAAUUAAUUAUAUAUUAAAAUGAAUUUUUUUAAUAUAAAUAUAUAUAACAAUUACUAAGGAAUAAACAUGUCUUAAAUUAUAUUAAUUAUAAACAAAAUUUAAAAAAAAAUCAAUAAAAUUAAAGUUUUUCAGUAAAAUUGUAUUUUUUUUACCAUAUUAAAAAUAAAAUAUAUCCUUGUUGUACUAAAUUAGUUAUUUAACCAAUAAACUAUUUUGCAGGAUUAGAUAAAAUACUAUAUAGUGAUCACUAUUUGUUUUAAAACUGUAAGACUAAGUAUUUAACAUCUUAAUUAAAAACUAAAAACUAUGUUUAUUUAUAUUUUUAUUGUGUUUAUCUGUAGAAGUUUCUAUUGUCAUUACUUUUGUCUACCAUUGAUUCUUGUUAACUACUGUGAAUUACCUUUUCAAAAUUUUAUUUACUAAAUACUUAAAUAAAAAAUUGUCAUUCCAUCUAAAUAAUGCCAUUUGAGUCUUACCUGAAUCAAGUAAAUAUGAAAGAUUGUUUUUAUUGAAUAUUUGGAAGAGUAUGAUUUUAAUGAAAGAAAUAGAAAAUAAGUUUAAGUUAAUGUUGACAUAUUCUAAAGUAGUAGUAAUUUAAGACAUAACCAUGGCUAAUAUUUAAGAGAGAAACAUAAUUUCUAUAUUGAUUUAUUUCAAGUACUAGAGUUGCAUUCAAUUCUUAAAAACCUCACUAAGACACAAUUUUAUCUGAAUAAUUGUCUUACAUGUGUUUUCAAGAAAUUUUUUUCGAAGUAUUUUUCAAGCUUUUACAUCCUCCCAGAAAAUAAAAGAAAGCACUACAAACCACAAAGUGUUUUAAACUAAGAAAUAUAAAUGAAGCUCAAAUUUCUAACAAAUAUUUGAAAGUGAGAAUAUAAAACUUCUUUAACAAUAAACAAGGUUUUUUUUUUUUCAAAGAAAGAUUUGUAGAUGAUUCUUGUUGUUUUCUUGUUUGUGAAAAUUUGUUCGCAAAUUUUCAAAAGGUAGUUGUCGAGAAAUGUUAAAGGUAUUUUUAAAAGGUAUCAUUUAAGAUUUGAUGAUGAUAGAUUAUUAUGAUUGGCUUGCUUUUUAGUUGGGAGGUUAGUUGUGAUUUUAGAUGACAAAUUGGUACUUCUUAGUAUUAAUACUUUUUAACCUUUCUUUUUCUCUGUUUUUUUAGGUAGGAAAACUGUGAUUUGUUCUCUGUUUGACUAAUGUAGAUUGAUUUGUGUUUAAUUUUAUUUAUUUAUUAUUGAUAAAAAAAAUGAUAAAUUGGUGUGUAUUAGAGAAUAUUAGAUAUUCUAUUCAAUUGUGUCUUUUAUAAAAGUUAUACUUAAAUAAAAUAAAAUAAGAAUUUUUUUUUAGAGAAUUUCGAGUUUUAAGAGUUUGAUACUCUUUUUUCUAUAUUUUUAUGUUUGAUAGUUUGUUUAAGUGUUGAAUAUCCUUACAUUUAUUUUUAAGAGGAUUUUUUCAAACUUCAUUCCUCACCUUGUCCAUUGUUUUUUAUUUUAAUUUAUUACAUGUUUUAAUGAACUUGUUCGAAAGUAAUAAUGGAGUUUUAAAUGAGCUUAUAGAUCAUUCUACAAGGUGAGGUGAGAUUUCACCGAUUUAAAAAUAUAAUUAUAAUUUUCAAAUACAAAAUUAUUUCUCAAAUAUAAUUUUGUAUAUUUAACUGUAAAAAUAUACAUCAUGUUUACUUAAUAUAUAAUUUUAUACUAAAUAAAAACAUAUCACCAUUCAUAAGUAUCGAAACAUUAAAAACCUACACUUCAUAUAUAUAUAUAUAUAAUCUUUACUUAACUUAUAUAGCUUAUUUAUUAUUAUCAUAUUUUUACAAAAACUGUAAAACUGAUUCACAAACUUUUAGAUAAAAAUGCGAAUUAAAUAAGCCAAGGUAAAAAAACCACAAUUUGAAUGAAAUUGUAAGUUUGGUGUGAUCUUUAUUUACAUGAAUCCUAAAACGAAAAAUUGAAUAAACUAGUAUAAUAAUUAUAAAAACAACAAGUGAAUGAAAGGUAGUCAUUCAAAGGUAUAAAUUCUUCAAAGAUAUAAAUUCAUCAAUAAAGUAUAUUUUUUUUAUCAAAAUGGGUAAGUUGUGUCAUACGAUUUUACUUGAAGAAGUGGUCUAGGACCAACAUGAGUUCGGUAUUAAUAUUGAACCAGACCAAAGUCAUAUAAUGGUUGUACCACUUACAUUUAAAACCUAUAGCAAAGAAAUUGUUAGACUAUUGCACGACUUUGCUUGAUUGAAUAAUUAGUGUUAACUAAAAUUAUGUCAACAUUGCACGACUACAGUAUAGAAUAAUAUAACUAAAAUCAUGUCACUGAUGCACAACUUUAAUUUUGAUGUACAAUUUUUAGACCUAACUGAGACAAUACCUAUCAAGUCCAUAAAUUUCAAAGUCAAGACCAAGAGAAAACUUAACUUGCAAUAACAAUUUUGACACAAAACUAAUAGCAAAAAAAUCUAUAUGCAAGUUGUUAAGGUGUGGUCAAAUUAGGGAUCCAUUCUCAUUCUUCGAUGCAAAUAUUGUAUAUCCAUUAGAUAGAAUGCAAAUGUAGUAUUAGUAAAGGGAAAGAUUGGAAUUUUGUUUCAUUUGUGUAAUUAAUUAUCAAUCUUUAAUAAUUUAAUUUCUUUAGUUAUCAUGCUUCAUCUUUCAUAUUAGUUAAAAACAAAUUAGGUCAACAAAAAUGUCUCUG